rnacentral:lncRNA from 1 species
GCGGAUCCCGUACGCAACCUUGACACGUGCUAUGACUUGACCCGCUUCCCCGAGGUCAAUGUCCCCAAGGUGUCCCUAGUGUUCGCAGGCGGUGCCACCUUGGAGCUCGAGCCGGCGUCCAUCAUGCUGGACGGCUGCCUGGCUUUCACGGCCUCCCCUGGCGGCCACGGCUCCAUCGGAUUCAUCGGCAACGUGCAGCAGCAGACCUACGAGGUUUUGUACGACGUCGGCAGCGGGAGCGUGGGAUUCCGCAGUGGCGCGUGCUGAUGUGGCAAGCUGCAGGCCAACCACGGCCACUUGUACGUGUGAUGCAUGAUUGGCCCCCUAAUAUAUAUCUGGGUCUACAAGCUAGCUUGCUCAUUGGGAUGGAGCUAGUUUGUGAGUAUAAAUAAAUGCAAGAAAGAAGAUUGAUGUAAUACUUAUAUAUGCAUGUAAUUUUAUAUAGUUUUAUAUAUGCAUGUAAUUUUGUUCAACGGUUGUAUGAUUGUAAACCUUAUAAUAUAACCUUACAGAUUGUCAAGGAAUUCAACCGAUAUAAUUACUCUACUUAUUGAUGUGCAAUAAUGUAAUAUGACUAUUAAGAAGCAUUCUGAUUGUGGAGGUGGUUUCGCACUUUUUACUACAACAAAGGUGUUUGAAGGAUUCCUCGGCAGAAACUAGAACGCACUCCUUCAAUAAUUGACGAGCUAAUUGGUUGUUGAACUUCAGACAAAGAUUGUUGGGCAUGAAAGCGGUCACCAGCGGGUUGAUUGGCCUCACCAGCUCAUACGUGUUCAUGAGGCGUGGUUUUUUUCUUUUCUUGAUUAAUAGUAUUUGUUUCUGGAUGCUUGCAUUGUUAGAUUUGGAAGCGUUCCUACUCCUCGAUGAGGAGCCGGGUUGGUUUAUAUUGAACGAGGCAGAACAGCCCUGCCGUGGCUUACAAGAAGAGGAAACUGAUCGCAAGGAUUGGGUUGUAAGGAGGACUCCUAAACAGCUACGCGAGGGAGAGAGAUAGAAUAGAGUUGAGAUUACAAUGCGGAGAUAAACAUGAAUUCUAACACCCUCCCUUAAUCUCAACUAUUCUAUGUUUAGAUUCCUCUUGAACUCAUCAAAUGGUUUUGCUGGUAGUGCCUUGGUGAACCCAUCAGCCACUUGAUCUUUGGAAGGGAUGAACCGUAUCUCAAGUUUCUUUGCUGCAACCCUUUCAGGCACAAAGUGAAAAUCAAUCUCUAUAUGCUUGGUUCUUGCAUGAAACACUGGGUUUGCAGACAAGUAUGUUGGUCCCAAAUUAUCACACCAUAAACAUGAGAUGCGAUUCUGCUUGACCCCCAUUUCAUCCAGUAGUGAUUCAAUCCAAAUGAUUUCUGCAGUGGCAUUAGCUAAGGAUUUAUACUCAGCCUCUGUAUUUGAACUUGAUACAGUGGCUUGUUUCCUACCACUUUAAGAAACAAGAUUAGGCCCAAAGAACACUGCAAAGCCUCCGGUUGAUUUUCUAUCAUCACUGCAACCUGCCCAAUCAGCAUCAGAGAAUGCACUCACAAGAGUAGAAUUAGAGCGUCUAAAAUGCAGUCCUACUCCCAUAGUAUGUUUGACAUAUCUUACAGUUCUCUUAAUAGCUGUCCAAUGUGCAGUAGUGGAUGCAUGCAGAUAUUGACAAACUUUGUUAACAGCAAAUGAGAUAUCUGGGCGAGUAAGAGUCAAGUACUGUAAUGCUCCAACAGUACUUCUAUACUUUGUGCUAUCUUCCUCAUAAAGUGGCUCACCUUCAUAUGCUGAAAGUUUCUCCGAGGAGGACAAUGUGUAGGUACAGGUUUGCAGUUUUUCAUCCCCAUACGAGAUAGAAGCUUGGUAACAUAUUUCUCUUGUUUUAGUACCAUGCCAUCUUGAGUCAUCUUAACUUCAAUGCCUAGAAAGAAGUGCAAAUGUAACAUCCCAAAAUUCUAAAUUUUGGAAUGUUAUAUUAAAUAAUUAAUUAUGAUUGUUUGUUUGUUGUGUGAUUGAUUGUGUGAAAAUGAUUGGAAAUUGAAAACUUUUUGAAAGUUGAAUGAGAGGGAAUAAAAGGACUUUCUCGAAACUUUUCAUCUUGCAUUUUGAUCUUCCUGAAUUCAAAUUCAUUUCAUCACAAAACCCUAGAGUGAAGAUAUUAUGACUUCUUCCAUUUAAAGAAAUUAAAAAAGGGGUUUGAAAAUGAUUUGAAUUCCAUUUGAAACAUUUCGAAUUUAGAAACUUUAAGAGCAUCUCCAGCCGUUCGCCCCCCAGGACGCAUAAAAAUCGCCCCCAGGGGGCGAGCCGGCGAUAUAAUCGGCGCUGGGAGCGGUUUCGCGCCCAGUCGUCGCCCCCAGGCGUCGAUAUUGGCCCACUUAUCCCAUUUCGGCGAAUAAAGGGCCCAUAUGGGCGACAAUAGGCCCAUAUUCCGCGUGGUUUGCCGUUGUUCGGCGUUCAGUUGUCACACCCUAGCUAGUCAUGCAUUAGAGUGUUGCAUCAUGUUUACUCUUUCAUCAGAAACUUGAAAUGGGGAUGACAGAACCCCCAGUCCCCUCUGAAACCAACUAGGGUUACUAAAAUAAUUUUUCAAUGAACCUGAAAUGCCCUUCUAAAAUGCCCAUCAUUUUUGCCUUGGUUCAGAACCUUUGCCAAAAGUGGUGCACAUUUUCCUAGGCCAUCCUAGGGUUUUUGAAUUAAGUCAUAAGUAUUUGAAUUUGGGCAUUUAAAAUUAUAUAAAAUAUUUAAAUGCUCAAAUAUCUCCAAACUAAAAUGUUUCAUGUUGGAAAUAAUCCAACUAUGGACCAGGAGUAGUUUGGUGAUUUUUGGAGUUGCCUAGGUAUUUUAUUUAAUUCAACAAAGUUGCAGAUAUAUUAAAUAAAAACAGAAAACAGAAAAAUAAAUAAAAGGAGUAGACUUACCUGGACCUACCUGCCCAGCCCAGCCGGCCCAGCACUGUGCUGGCCCGUGCCAGCCAGCUGCUUCCCCUUGCCAGAGCAGGCAGGGAGGUGAGCAUGGCGCGCCCGAGCUCGCCACGCACCACCCAGCCUCUCUGCAUCGCCCUGGUCGCCGUUGCGCCGCGUGGAUCGUCUUCUGGUCGUCGCCCCGACCUCGCCGACACCCCAUUCAUUCUCCCCCGGCUCUCCCUCGCUCUCUCCCCCGCCCGACCGAACACCACCGUCGCCGCCGUUCGCCAUAGCCACCGUCUCCGACCACCCCUCGCUCCCCCGACCAGCUCAGAAGCUCCGCCACAACUCCCUCUUCCUCCCCACCGCUCCACAGCUCCCCGGAAGCCCUGCAUUGCCGCCACGUCGCCGUUCCCCUCUUCGGGCUCCGACCACCGCCGCCGUCGAAUUCGCCGUCUCCAGCGCGUCCCCGAGCCCGCUUCGACGCCCACUGCAACCGCGGUGAGCUACGCCACCGUUUCCCCCUCUCCUUCCCCUCGUUCCCUCACCGUAGCUUCCUCCCCACCACGGCCGAACCUCCGCCGUCGCCGAGCUCGCCGUCGACGCAGCUCCGGUGACCAUUUGGUCACCCCGGCGAGUCCAACGGGUUCACAGAACCCCGUAGAGCAUCCCUAGCGCCUCGCCUUGCUCGACUUCGAGCUCCAGCACCGUUCCCGGACUGCUCAACUCACCCAUCCUUCGGGAAAGAUAGUCAAUGUCUUGACCCGAAUAGCCAAGCGACAAUUAUACUCUCUUAACGCCAGCCCCUUGCCAGACCUUGAGGACGUGCCGGUAGUCUGUGACUUCCCGGAUGUCUUUCCAGAAGAAUUGCCAGGUGUUCCACCUGACAGGGAUGUUGAGUUCGUAAUAGACCUCAUCCCCGGAACCGUUCCGAUUGCUAGAAGACCUUAUAAGAUGGCACCCCUAGAACUAGCCGAGCUUAAGAAACAACUCGAUGAAUCCUUGAAAAAGGGUUUCAUCCGCCCUAGUUCAUCUCCGUGGGCUUGCCCCGUCCUAUUCGUCAAGAAGAAGGAUGGUACGGACCGAAUGGUUGUAGAUUACCGACCUGUCAACUUGGUCACAAUCAAGAACAAAUACCCGCUUCCCAGGAUCAACGAUCUGUAUGAUCAGCUCGCUGGAUCCUCAGUCUUCUCCAAGAUGGAUUUGAGGUUGGGAUACCAUCAAAUCAAAAUCAGAAACGGGGACAUUCCUAAAACGGCCUUUGUUACUCGUUAUGGCCAAUACGAGUACACCGUCAUGUCCUUCGGUUUAACCAACGCUCCAGCCACCUUUUCUCGGUUAAUGAACUCAAUCUUCAUGGAGUAUUUGGACAAAUUCGUCAUAGUUUAUCUCGAUGAUAUACUCAUCUACUCCAAGAACGAGGAAGAACAUGCCGAACAUUUAAGGCUAGUGUUGAAGAAACUUCGAGAGCAUCGCCUUUAUGCCAAAUUUUCUAAAUGUGAAUUCUGGUUAUCAGAAGUGACCUAUCUGGGUCAUGUAAUAUCUGGUAAAGGUAUUGCUGUUAACCCUGAGCGAGUUCAAGCCGUCCUUGAUUGGACUCCACCCGAAUCGGUCAAGCAAGUUCGGAGUUUUCUAGGCUUAGCGAGCUAUUGUCGUCGCUUUGUCGAGAACUUCUCCAAAGUUGCUAAACCUCUAACCGAACUCCUCAAGAAAGAUAAGAAGUUCGAAUGGACUCCACAAUGUGAGCACAGCUUUCAGGAACUGAAAAGACGCCUGACUUCUGCUCCCGUGCUGGUACCGCCAGACUUCUCCAAGGACUUCGUUAUCUACUGCGACACCUCGCGACAAGGACUAGGUUGCAUUCUCAUGCAAGAUCGACACGUAAUUGCUUACGCUUCACGGCAAUUGCACCCACAUGAGGAGAAUUAUCCUACUCAUGAUCUAGAGCUUGCAGCCGUAGUCUAUGCACUUAAGACCUGGCGACAUUACCUCCUCGGUAAUCGUUGCGAAAUAUUCACUGAUCACCAAAGUCUGAAGUAUAUUUUCACCCAACCGGAUUUGAAUCUCAGGCAGAGAUGUUGGGUUGAAUUGAUCACAGACUUCGACUUAGGAAUAACCUACACCCCAGGGAAAGCCAACGUCAUGGCUGAUGCGCUAAGUCGUAAAUCUUAUUGUAACAACCUGAUGUUACAACAAAGUCAACCGCUUCUCCAUGAGGAAUUUCGGAAGCUUAACCUUCACAUUGUACCUCAAGGUUUUCUUUCCACCUUGGUGGCAAAACCUACCCUUACGGAUCAAAUUAUCAAAGCACAGAAGGUAGAUCCGGGAAUCUCCCGCAUCAAGAGAAACAUUCAGAAAGGAAUUGCGAAUUGCUUCUCCAUUAAUGAUCAAGGGGUCGUAUACUUCGGGGAUCGACUAGUGGUUCCCAAAGUGCGAAACCUGAGGCGAUUGAUCCUUAAGGAAGCUCAUGAAUCUCCUCUCACCAUUCAUCCCGGUAGUACUAAGAUGUAUCAGGACCUACGCCAGAGGUUCUGGUGGACUAGGAUGAAGAGAGAAAUUGCUCAGUAUAUUGCUAAUUGCGACGUCUGUCAUCGUGUAAAAGCAGAGCAUCAACGGCCUGCUGGCACCCUUCAACCCUUAGCUAUUCCUGAAUGGAAAUGGGAUAAAAUUGGUAUGGAUUUCAUUACCGGGUUUCCCAGGACCAAGAGAGGGAAUAAUGCUAUUUUCGUCGUGGUCGAUCGUCUCUCCGAAGUAGCUCAUUUCUUACCUGUUCGUGAGAGUAUAACCGCUAGUCAGCUGGCAGAUUUGUACAUCUCCCGAAUAGUGUCUCUACAUGGUGUUCCUUUGGAAAUUAACUCGGAUCGAGGAAGUCUUUUCACCUCUCGAUUUUGGGAAAGUUUCCAAAAUGCUAUGGGAACUCGUCUCUUCUUUAGCACCGCUUUCCACCCUCAGUCGAGUGGUCAAGUGGAACGCGUCAACCAAAUUCUAGAAGACAUGCUUCGAGCCUCUGUUAUCUCUUUCGGAAUGGACUGGGAGAAGUGCCUUCCAUUUGCCGAAUUCGCUUACAACAACAGCUAUCAAUCUAGCUUGGGUAAAGCCCCUUUUGAAGUUCUCUAUGGACGACGAUGUCGAACACCCCUUAACUGAUCAGAGACCGGGGAAAGACAAUUCUUUGGCCCGGAUAUGAUUCAGGAAGCAGAAGAACAAGUUCGUAUCGUUCGUGAAAAGUUGAAAACAGCCCAAUCUCGUCAAAAGAGUCAAUAUGACCGAAAACAUAAGGCUAUGACUUUCGAGGUUGACGAGAAGGCUUAUCUUCGGGUCACCCCUCUGAAGGGAACCCAUCGUUUCGGUAUCAAAGGCAAAUUGGCUCCUCGUUACAUUGGACCUUUUCGCAUUCUUGCCAAACGAGGAGAAGUUGCCUACCAGUUGGAACUACCUCCGCACCUCUCCAGAGUUCACGAUGUCUUCCACGUUUCUCAACUCAGGCGUUGCUUCUCGGAUCCUAUCCGUGAAGUGGACCACGAAACGCUUGAUCUCCAAGAUGAUCUUACAUAUCGAGAGUACCCCAUUCGUAUCCUCGAUCAAGCCGAACGUACCACGCGACGUCAUAAUAUCAAGUUUCUCAAGGUUCAAUGGUUGCACCAUUCUGAGGAUGAAGCAACUUGGGAAAGGGAGGAUCGUCUUCGACUCGAGUAUCCCGCCUUCUUCUCGGAGAAACCCAAAUCUCGGGACGAGAUUCUUUUGAGUGGGGGUGAGUUGUCACACCCUAGCUAGUCAUGCAUUAGAGUGUUGCAUCAUGUUUACUCUUUCAUCAGAAACUUGAAAUGGGGAUGACAGAACCCCCAGUCCCCUCUGAAACCAACUAGGGUUUACUAAAAUAAUUUUCAAUGAACCUGAAAUGCCCUUCUAAAAUGCCCAUCAUUUUUGCCUUGGUUCAGAACCUCUGUCAAAAGUGGUGCACAUUUUCCUAGGCCAUCCUAGGGUUUUUGAAUUAAGUCAUAAGUAUUUGAAUUUGGGCAUUUAAAAUUAUAUAAAAUAUUUAAAUGCUCAAAUAUCUCCAAACUAAAAUGUUUCAUGUUGGAAAUAAUCCAACUAUGGACCAGGAGUAGUUUGGUGAUUUUUGGAGUUGCCUAGGUAUUUUAUUUAAUUCAACAAAGUUGCAGAUAUAUUAAAUAAAAACAGAAAACAGAAAAAUAAAUAAAAGGAGUAGACUUACCUGGACCUACCUGCCCAGCCCAGCCGGCCCAGCACUGUGCUGGCCCGUGCCAGCCAGCUGCUUCCCCUUGCCAGAGCAGGCAGGGAGGUGAGCAUGGCGCGCCCGAGCUCGCCACGCACCACCCAGCCUCUCUGCAUCGCCCUGGUCGCCGUUGCGCCGCGUGGAUCAUCUUCUGGUCGUCGCCCCGACCUCGCCGACACCCCAUUCACUCUCCCCCGGCUCUCCCUCGCUCUCUCCCCCGCCCGACCGAACACCACCGUCGCCGCCGUUCGCCAUAGCCACCGUCUCCGACCACCCCUCGCUCCCCCGACCAGUUCAGAAGCUCCGCCACAACUCCCUCUUCCUCCCCACCGCUCCACAGCUCCCCGGAAGCCCUGCAUCGCCGCCACGUCGCCGUUCCCCUCUUCGGGCUCCGACCACCGCCCCCGUCGAAUUCGCCGUCUCCAGCGCGUCCCCGAGCCCGCUUCGACGCCCACUGCAACCGCGGUGAGCUACGCCACCGUUUCCCCCUCUCCUUCCCCUCGUUCCCUCACCGUAGCUUCCUCCCCACCACGGCCGAACCUCCGCCGUCGCCGAGCUCGCCGUCGACGCAGCUCCGGUGACCAUUUGGUCACCCCGGCGAGUCCAACGGGUUCACAGAACCCCGUAGAGCAUCCCUAGCGCCUCGCCUUGCUCGACUUCGAGCUCCAGCACCGUUCCCGUGCACGACCGAACCCCGGCGGCCGCAGCCGAGCUCGCCGCCGUCGACUCCGGCCACCCCGACCCCAACGGGCUCCGCCAAGAGCUGCGGGUUGUCCUCAGCUCCACUCAGGUGGCCUCCGCGAUCCAUUUGGUGGCCGAAACGACCAAAAUCACUUCCGCCGCCGCGUCGGGCUCGCCGGCGACUAAACGCCGGCAGCCGACACUGACUUUGACCACGGGUGGGCCCUGGUUGACUCCCCUGAGUCAAUGACAGGUGGGGCCCAGCCCUGUUAAUUAAACAGGAUUAGUUUUAAUUAAGUUUUAAUUAAAAUAAUCACCCUGACAUGCGGGACCCACUGUCAGGUUUGACCUGGACCAGUUCCGUUGACCUGCUGACGUCACACUGACGUCAGGCUGACGCAGUAAAUUAAUUUCUGGAUUUAAAUUAAAUCAGGAAAUUCCAGAAUAUUAUUUAAACUUCAAAAAUUCAUAACUUUUAUUCUGUAACUCCAAAUUGGACAAAUUAUAUAUGAAAAAUGAUCAGAAAAAUCCAAUCUAUCCAUCUGUACCAUUUUCAUGCAUGAUCAAACAAGUUAAGUUGAUGUUUUAAUCAGAACAAGAAAAGGCACUUUAAAAGGCCAUAUUUGAAUUUGAAAUCUGAAUCUUUGAUUCAAAUUUGUUCAAACCCUUCUGGUUUUUAGUUGCAUUAGCCCAACACACUCAUAUUGCCAUGUUUCAUGCAUGCAUCAUAUUGUUGCAUAUUGUUUGGUGAUGUUUGUGUAUCGAUGUCCUUUGCGACAGGAUCUGUCCCCGAGGAGUAUCGUGAUUACCCUAACGAAGAACCGUAUCCGUGCAACGAACCAUCAGGCAAGCAACCAACCAUUUGAUCAUAUCAAUACAAUCCCAUGUUCUCGCUCCUGCUCUCAUUUACUGCAUUAAGACAACGCGAUUCAAACUGCUGUGUGCUACGGUAGUUGAACCCAUUUCAUCUGCAUGACCUGUCAUUGCCACAGUAACUAGAUGAAACCCACUAGCAUGUGUAGGAGUUGAUUGAGCCAUAUGUAUGUGUUGUUCCUACCUUGCUAUGCCUGCUAUGCUUAGAGUCGUGUCAGGUCUGGUUCAUCUGGGUGAUGGGCUAGAGUGAAAUGAUUAUGUCGGUAAUGAGAGUGGUGUGGUGAACACGAUUUGGUAAAGGUAUCGAUGAGAGGCCAUGUAGGAGUACAUGGUGGGUUGUUUCAUUGAAGCCGACCUUAAGCACUGAGAUCUGUAUGUGUGAUUUAAGAUACAGCUACUACCAUGCAUUGGGCCCUGAAAUAUGACCCCGCUCGACUUCUUAUUCACCCUAGCUCUCUGUCUAGGAGUUGCAAGUAGUUUCUGGUGUUUGUAGCCUACUGGAGGCCGUGGACAGCGCUGACCGUAGGGGUGGGCUGUGAUGCGGUAGGUACGUGGCACGGUGUACCGAAUACCCGUUAGGUAUCUCGGGAACCCUGUUCACAUCGUUCGGGGCCGUAUGGGAAACCUCGGCCGGACUCCCUGCGGAUGGAACCUGAAUAGGCGAUAAACCUGGACUAGAGGCUUAAGUGUUUAGGUAGGUCGUGGUCUACACCCACGUCGGUUUUCGCUUGAAGUCUGCCGAGCACAUGUCGUGUGCAGACGCUAAGUGGUGGAAACAUGUAUGAAGAAGUACACCCCUGCAGGGUUAUCAUAAUCUAUUCGAAUAGCCGCGUCCGUGGUAAAGGACUACUUGGUUGCCUAUACAGUUCAUAGACAAGUAAAUGGAAACUACUAAAAGCCUCAAGAUAAGUGUGAGUGCCGAGGAUGGCUCUUCCGUAGGAAGACGGAGGUGAAUCCUCGGUAGUGUAUUGAAGUGGUGAGUAGUGGACUCGUGUGCGCAAAACUAUUUCAAGUUGGAGUAUCGUAGGUUAGCCUAGCCAAGAGUCAAAGCUGGCUUGCUGCAAUAACUCCACCAACCCUUCUUGAUACUAUGCAUGUAUGUAGGAUCUGAUGUAAGUCUUGCUGAGUACCUUUGUACUCAUGUUGCUAUAAUCUACAUUUUUUACAGAAGACGCUGCAACCCCUUCUGAUGGGUUCUAUGUAGACGUUGACAUCAACGAGUAGGCUAAAGACCCAGGUGGUGACCCUGAGCUUGUGAUGGACCACGUAGUAUAGCUAGGCUUUCCAAGCCUCUUUUAUUUUACUAGUUGUCUGUACCCAGACAAAGUACUUCCGCUGUUGGCUUGUAUGACUGUAUGAUUUGUAUGUUGGGUCGUGAGACCCGUACCUGUGUGUAUGAUAUGUAUGGCUCCCUGAGCCUUAAAUAAAGUACUUGUGUCAUAGAGUCAUGUUGUGAUGCUUCGUUGUAUUUGCACAUAUCGAGCAUAUUGUGUGUAUGAUUGAAAUGCUUGGUAUGUGUGGGAUCUGACUAUCUAGUUGUUUAUCUUUAGUAGCCUCUCUUACCGGGAAAUGUCUCCUAGUGUUACCGCUGAGCCAUGGUAGCUUGCUACUGCUCUGGAACACUUAGGCUGGCCGGCAUAUGUCCUUCUUCGUUCCUGUGUCUGUCCCUUCGGGGAAAUGUCACGCUUUGAGUACCGGAGUCCUGUUAGCCCGCUACAGCCCGGUUUACCGGAGUCCUGCUAGCCCAGUGCUACAGCCCGGACCCACUUGCUGAUGACCGACACGUUCGAAGCUGGGUCAUGGAUGCCUGUCCCUGUAAGUCUGUGCCACUUUGGGUUUACGACUAGUCAUGUCAGCCCGGGCUCUUUAUCAUAUGGAUGCUAGCGACACUAUCAUAUACGUGAGCCAAAAGGCGCAAACGGUCCCGGGAAAAGGUAAGACGACACCCGUGGGGAUACCGUGCGUGAGGCCGCAAAGUGAUAUGAGGUGUUACCAGCUAGAUCGAUGUGACAUCGAGUCGGGGUCCUGACAUCAAUUAUGCACAUAAAUUUUUUAUCACAUAUUUCAUCACAGAAAUAUCAAAUACUUCAACAAAAUAGUACAACAACAAAUAGUUCAAUACAAUUUAUAUAGUUGAAGAAAUAAAAACUCAUAUUCCAUCACACGUCGCGCCCGACGUCACCCUUGAGCCUCCAUAGAUGCUCUAUCAGAUCUUGCUGCACUUGAUGAUGCACCUGUGGGUCUCGGAUCUCCUGACGCAUACUGAGAUAGGCAGUCCAGGUUGCCGGUAGCUGGUGAUCAACUUCGGCUAGAUGACCCUGCCUAUAGUAUGGUUCAGUGUCAAACACUGGGUCUUCUUGCUCGUUCUCGAUGAUCAUGUUGUGCAAGAUGACACAGCAAGUCAUAAUCUCCCACAUUUGAUCUUUCGACCAGGUCUGAGCGGGGUACCGGACAACAGCAAAUCGAGAUUGGAGCAUACCAAAUGCCCUCUCGACAUCCUUCCUGUAAGCCUCCUGAACCUUCGCAAACCAGCCGUUCUUGCCUCCUGGCACAGGGUUUGAGAUCGUCUUCACAAAUGUCGACCAUCUCGGAUAGAUGCCAUCAGCUAGAUAGUACCCCUUGUUGUAGUGCCGCCCAUUGAUCUCGAAGUUCACCGGAGGAGAAUGACCUUCAACAAGCUUGGCAAAGACAGGAGAGCACUGCAGCACGUUGAUGUCAUUGUGAGUUCCUGGCAUACCAAAGAAGGAGUGACAAAUGCAGAGGUCCUGUGUGGCCACCGCCUCAAGUACCACACUGCAACCGUCUUUGGCGCCUUUGUACAUCCCCUGCCAAGCAAAUGGGCAAUUCUUCCAUUUCCAAUGCAUGCAGUCGACUCUUCCAAGCAUCCCAGGAAAUCCUCUUGCUGCAUUCUGUGCUAGGAUCCGAGAAGUGUCUUCCGCAUUGGGUGUUCUCAAGUAUUGCGGUCCAAACACGGCCACCAUUGUCCGAAAGAACUUGUAGAAACACUCUAUGCUGGUGGACUCGGCCAUGUGCCCAUAGUCGUCGAGUGAAUCACCGGGAGCUCCGUAUGCAAGCAUCCUCAUCGCUGUCGUGCACUUCUGAAUGGAGGUGAAUCCAAGGGCGCCGGUGCAAUCCAUCUUGCACUUGAAGUAGUUGUCGAACUCCCGGAUGGAAUUCACAAUCCUGAGGAAGAGCUUUCGGCUCAUCCGAUAACCGCGCCGAAAUGUUUUCUCGCCGUGAAGUGGAGCAUCGGCGAAGUAGUCGGAGUAGAGCAUGCAGUAGCCUUCGAGACGAUGCCGGUUCAUUGCUUUCACCCGCCCCGGCGCCGAGCCACCUCGCUGCGGCUUUUCAUUGCUCGCCAGCAGCUGGGCAAGGGCGGCGAGCAACAUGAGAUGCUCUUCUUCCUGGACAUCGGCCUCGGCUUCCUCCUCCAACAGCGCGGCGAGCGCUUCCUCAUCAUCCGAGUCCAUCGCCGAGGCAGGCAAAUCGCCGAACACCUUGCGCCCGGUGGGCGUGUACCCGCCGCUAAACUGCCCCUCUGCGGCCGGAAACACCCAGCUGCUGUUGGAGGGGCUGCCGCGGUGAAGCUCUGCUAUUUUUUCGGCGGGGAAUGGCUAUCUAGCGGUGAAGGGCGGCAGGCGGCGUCAGGAUAUAGCUAGUGGCGGCCGAGGGCGCGGGGGUGGGAGGCGAGUCGGGGAAGAAAACCUUAACUUUUCCCCUGCUGGUGUGGGCCAGCCGCGCUUUUCCCUUGCGCCGGGGCUCCCAAUUGCCCCUAGUGCGCCGGGUUUGGCCUGUGACCGCCGAGCGGAAAAAAGGGCCGAACCGGCAAUUUUCGGCGUCCUGGGGGCGCGAGUGGGGAAUUUUUUUGGCGCCGGCGGCGAAAAAGUGGCCUGGGGGGCCUGUUGGGGGCGCGGCCGGAGAUGCUCUAAGCAAUUCAAUGAGUUCAUGAGGGAAGAUAAAAUGACUUCUUCAAAUCAAAGGAAGAGAGUUGGAAGUUUCAAAGGAAUAAUUUGAAGACACUUUGAAGUUAUUUGAAACUCAUUUUUCCAUUUGAAGUUGUUUGAAAUUCCAAAUUUCAAAUCCUCUUGGGAGUUAUUUAGGUUUAAUUCAAAUUAUUUUUCUCCAAAAAAUAAAUAGAUGGAAAUAAGGGUAAAAUGAUUCCCUUCAAUAGAAAAUUAGGAGAAAAUAUAUUUGAAAUCAUUUUGCUAUUUUAAAAACGAUUUUUAUUGAUUUUAAAUGCAAUAGUAGCACUAUUUGACUUUUAUGAAUUUUUAUGGAAUUUAGUUGAACUUGAAAAAUAAUUCAUCUUAUUGCUGCUAUUUUUCUGAGCAUUUUGGUAUAUAAUAUUCCUACGUAAUUUUUUUAGUUAUCUUCCUAUGUUGAAGGUUUUGUUUCUGCAAAAAAAAACACGCGCCCGCCAGCCAGCCCAGGGUCUUCGGCCCAAGAGCCAGCCAGCACACCAAGCCGGCCCAGCAGCGCCCCAGGCCGCUCGAGGCCUCUUGCCUCGUUCUCCCAGGCCCCUCUUCCCUCGCUCGCUCUCUCCCACCGCCGCUGCUAGUGGGGCCCGCAACCCUUCGUCCCUAACUUCCCGCUCCUCCCGUUGAUAUAGAGCACGUUGAUAUAGAGCACGCGUGUGCCGCCCGCAACUGCCGGCUGCUCUGCUCGGGAUAGAGCUCAUCCCCAGUGUCCGCAGCCUCUUCUCGCGCCUAUAAAUUCCCCCGACUCCCCUCGUUCGAUUUUGCCACUCCGCAACGACCCACGCCACUCACAGCCGCCGCCUUCGUCGUUUGGAUCUCGCCCGUCGGAGCUACCUGGCCGGUCCGUUCCCCCGUCCGUAAGACUGCCUCGACCCGUUCUUCUUUGUCAAUUGACUCCCCGCGUCAAGGCGCAUCUGAUUGACAAAAAAUUGCCGCCUUGGUCGUACCAGAGACGACGCCCCGACGCGCCGCGCUCUCGCCGGAGCACCGGAGCUCCGCCGCCUCCCUCCGCUCGUCGCUGGCCACCCCACCGCCCGCCGACCCCACCAGCACGCCGCCCACGCCGCGCCCGACCUCCCCGACCCCUUCGUCGCCGCUGCCCACUGAGGACCGCCGGAGACGCCCCCGUGUCCGCCGUCCGCCGCCUGACGCUAGCGCUGCCGCCCCUGUUCGCCGUCCUCGCUCGCUGUGAGCCGCUGACCCUCAGUCAUUUUUGUUGUUGUUGUAUUAGAUCGGGUAACCGUGGUUUUAUUAAACCGUGCAGUUUAGUAAAAAACCGGUCUCCGGUUUUCUUUUUAUUUAGCCGCGGUAGCCGUUUUAUUUAUUCAGUGGCCGUCCGCCGUUUAGCCUGAGCCGCGAACGCUUCUCAGCCACCCGGAAGCCGCCACGUGGCCAGGGACCUGGUCACGAAUAAAACUUUCACAAUUAAGACCCUUAGAUUUCAGUUUAGCCCCUAAACUUCGAAUGGUUGUAUCUUUUUAACCGUAACUGCAAAUUCGACGAAACCAGCAGCAAAAUGUUCAUGUCCAAUAGUUUUAUCCAGAGAACCAACUUUGAAAACUUUUGGACAAAUUCAAAUUUGAACUUUAUUCAGAUUUGAAUUCAAACUUCAACUGGCCAUAUCUCUUAAACCGUAGCUCCGAUUGGUGUGAUUCUUUUUGCAACGUGUCAUCGUAGCCAAACCCUACCACCUAGACCUUGUCACAAUCUGUCUAUGAUAGUUUUACUAUUAUGCCAUGUAUGGACUUUAGUACACAUCACAGUUUUGAACCCCAUGUCACAAGUUGUUUUGCACUUAGGAUAUUUCCAUGCUAGUUAACUGUGUUGAAUAUUCAUUUGGUUUUUCUGAGACUUUGUGCUUUGCAUGUUCUUCUUGGUUCUCUGAAACGAUUGCUUAUGUGAGUGCAAUGUUUGACUUUAUAGAUUUUCAUCGGAGAGUGAAGAAUAGUUCUAUUAAAUAAAUUUCUGAGAGCGAUAUAAUCUUCAUCAACUAUUACCAGGCAAGUUCACAUUUGACCAUUUUUCCAAUUACCUAUGUUUAUAUUAUGCACUUAGUCCUUUUGUGGUAGGAUUGCAUGGUAGGAUUUAUUGUUACCAGAUGGCUAUGCCGUUACCUAGUAGUUCAUUUAAGGUAGGUAUGAUCUAUACAUCCUUGUCACCACCGUGUAAGUUUAUUUUUGCCUCACUAAAUGUAGACGUGGUUUGGGAAGCGAACAUGGCGAGACAUGAGUGACAAAGUAGUAAUCAGGACCAAGACUUGUAAAUGAACUACCUGGGCGGUAUUUUGUUUGAAUGGUGGCGAAGUACAGUGGGAGCAUGCAUGGUUAAUCCAUGGUGGUGCACCACUAGUGGUUGGCCGCUUAGGCUCAAAGAGAUCAAUAGUAUUCUCAUGUCUAGAAGCUUAAGUGUGCAGCCACAAACCAAUAUGGGCUCUAGCUUAGUUGAGUAGUUAGUGUGACCCAUUCCGGGAUGGGCUAGCAGAUGUAGAAUGAUGUAGGUGUACCGGCCUAUCCAUGGGUUAAGGGGUGACAUUUUUGAAAGAGUAUGUCUCGGUCAUCCUGUUCUCAAACGCCAGGCAGUGCGAGAACUCCAGGGGAGGCGAUCGAGUCUUGUGGGGAAAAGUGCGCAAACCUCUGUAGAGUGUUUUUUUUGAACUUGACAGUGGGAGAGAACUCCCACUGUAUAUUUUCACAUAUCUAUAUAAAUGGGGUGUUUACAUAGACAUACCACUCACACACAUCCAGCUCCACUCUUGGUGGAACCACCAGGGGUGGGGCAACUACACCAUGGUCACUGCUAUACACUUGUCUCUAAGUAUUUAAAGAGGGAAGAAUAAAACACAGUAUGUCUCAGCUAAGUGUGCCACAGUAUGAAAGCAGGGCAGCUCUACGUGUACCCUGAACUCUAUGUUGCAGAAGUCCCAAGUCCUCUUUGAAUCGAUGGAACCAAGAUGCAAUGCUUGGGGUUACACCUCUGAAGUGUUUAUUGUUUCUUUCCUUCCACAAACUCCAGGUAGUAGUGAAAAAUGCUUCAAUGAAGAAAGGAUUGGGCCAGUUGGGUUGUGCGUUUUGCAACGCAUCAAACCUAUUUUGAAAAUCAAUCCAGUGAACACCUAUCUUGGCCCAACACCUUUCGCUGAACUGGCAGGUGAAGAUCAUAUGCUCGAGAGUCUCAUCUGCAUUUUGCCCACAAAGGAGACAUGUGAUGUCAUUCCCAAUGUCAUAGUGUCUUCUUCUCAGCAUGUCACAUGUGUUCAACCUGUCGUGCAGCAACAACCAUCCAAAUACUUUGAUUUUCAUCAUACAGUUUGAUUUCCAAAGGAGCGGGAAGAUGGGAUGAGCUGUUGCAUCACGGGAGAAGUUGUUAUAGUAGUCUUUUGGCUUGUACCCAGCUGCCCCCCAAGCAUAGAGCCAAACAUCAGAUAUUGUUGUGGAUGGGUGUAUGCGGAAUGCUGCAUGUUGGACAUCUUGCACCUCGUUGAGCGCACGAGCAGAUAGCGGUAGGUGAAAGGUUUCAUGCAGUUCAGUGUUGGCCCAGAAGUCAGCGACCGUCAUGUCUUCCUGCAGAGCAAAUGAAAAGGCACGCGGGUGCGAUGUUUGUAGCACAUCAUUUGACCACAAGUCUUUCCAGAGCAGCGUAGUCGAGCCAUCAACUACUUGGACACGAGUGAUCCCUCGGUAGAUGGGCGUUAAUUUGAGAAUGUCUUUCCACCAGAAAGAACCGACUAGAUCAACCGCAUGAGGCACCUGGUUAGCAUACUGAUUAUCCCAAAGCAUAGUAACCCAUGGUACGUCCAGUUUGUUAUAGAACUUGUGGAGAAAUUUUAGCAGGAGGGCUUCGUUGUAGAUUGUAAUGUUGAUCACUCCUAACCCACAUUUACACUUGGGCUUGCACACUAGUUCCCAAGCCGCAAGCGAAUUACAUUUGUCACCUUGGUCGGUUUUCUUUGUCCAGAGACAUCUCCUUCUAAUCUUGUCAAGAAUUUCAAUUAGAUUCGGAGGGAACUUGAGCGUGCACAUGGCAAACACCAGAAGGGAUGUGACCGAUGCAUUGAGCCAGGAGAGGCGGCCCCCAUAGGACAUCAUAGCGAUCGUGGCAGUGAGACGAUGCUCCAUUUUGCAAACUAGAGGCAUGAAUUCUUGAAUGGUUGGUCUUGUAGUGCCAAGUGGCAGGCCAAGGUAGGUGAAAGGCAUUGUACCUAUAGUGCAGCCAAAAAUGGCAGCAAGGCUAGAGGUUGCACUUGCGUCCAGGUUGAUUGGUAUGAGCGUCGACUUGUGAAAGUUAAUUUUGAGGCCAAUAGAGGAUGCAUAGUCAGAGAGAAUGUUCUUGACACGGGCAGCCUGUUGUGGGCAAGCAGGCAAGACAAGGAGGGUGUCGUCCGCAUAUUGGAUCACUGGGUAAUCAUUUUGCCCAUUGCAUGGAAAAGGCAGGCUGAUAUCUCCACGUCGAUAAGCAUCAUUGCCGUGGCUUGAAGUAGUUCAGCUGCCAGGACGAAAAUGAGGGGGGACAGAGGAUCACCUUGCCGCACACCGCAUCGACAAAGGAACUGUCGGCCUGGGACCCCAUUAAGAAGUUUGGACGAGCGACCCGAGGAGAAGAGGCACUUGAUCCAGGAGAUCCACUUGUCACUGAAACCCAUCUGCUGCAUAAUGCAAAUCAUUGGUUCAUGCGUGAUGGUAUCGAAUGCUUUGGCGAAAUCAAGUUUAAGAAUAAUGAUUGGCCGGCCCAAGUUUUGACAGUGAUAAAGAUAUUGAUAAUCUCAUGCCAGACAAUUCUGUAUAGUAUGCCCUUUAAUGAACCCAUACUGAUUCCGGUGAAUGAGGGUGAGAAUGACAAGUUGAAGUCUGUCUGCUAGCAGUUUGGUAAUCAACUUGAGGCAGCAGUUGAGCAAUGUAAUGAGUCUGAAAUCAUUGACUGUUUCUGGAGAGUUAGUCUUAGGUAUAAGUGUGAUAAGACCAUCAUUGAUACUUGUGACAUCUAACGUACCUGCAUAGAACUGAUCACAUAGGGUGUAAAAGUCAUGUCGAAUGAUGGGCCAGCAGGCUUUCAAAAACGCCCCACUAAAGCCAUCUGGGCCAGGUGCGUGGUCCGGAGGCAUACCUUUGACCACAUUAUCGAUUUCCUCAUGUGAAAAAGGCGUGGUAAGUUGGUCAAGAUUUGUAGCGCGGGGGAUAAUGUUUGGAAGAUCAAAUUUCAUGUCUGAAGGGGAGACCGUACCCAGGCGGUUUUUGUAAGUUUGAAACAAGAGGGCCUCUUUUGCAGGAUGAUUGUCGACCAAUGUGCCAUCCUCAAGCUUGAGUGAGGAGAUAUUGUUUUGUCGAUAACGUUCCCUGGCCACUGCUUGGAAAAACUUGGAGUUUUCAUCGCCAAACUUGAUCCAACGAAUAGUACAACGCUUCUUCCAAUAAAGUUUUUGAUAUUUGAGCAGUCUCAGCAAGUGUGACUUUAGGAUACGUUUGAAGUUCAUUUUUGGAAUUGAAAGGAUUCGUUUAUUCUGCCAGGACAUGGUUACAGUUCGUGAUGGCCACUAAUAGACGAGAAAUAUUCUUACUCCAGAUUUUGAGAGUGUGUCGAAGAGCUUUGAAUUUUCAGCAAAGGAUUGUGGCAGCAUUUGCGUUCCAAACUGGCCAUUCCCAAACCUCUCUAACUAUGUCCAUAAACCCUGGGUGUAAGGUCCAGUAGGAUUCAAAACGAAAGAGCUUGGAUCGGGGGAUUUUGGUCUCUAUGGUGACAACGCAAGGGAUGUGAUCAGAAACGGGCUUGCCAAGGGGUUUAACGAGCAUCUUAGGAUAUGCGUUACUCCAAUGCAAGGAUGUGGAGAACCAGUCAAUCUGUUCAAGCAAAGGAUCGGUCUGCAUAUUGCUCCAAGUGUAGGUUCUACCUUUUACCGGAAGCUCAAUCAGUUGCUGCUGACGAAUGAUGUCAUUGAACGUAAUCAUGUCGUGAAUGUUACCCCCAGGUUUAUUAUGAUUGUCUGGAGCUCUCAUGUAGUUAAAGUCGCCCAAAAGUAACCAGUCUUGGUUACGGGGUAUUUGAACAUCGUACAACCAUUGCGUGAAAACAUCCCUGUCUGUACCAGUGCAAGGCCCGUACACGUUAACUAACGUCCAAUGUUGAGAGGAUUGCGUGCUAACGAACUCGAUGGCUAGCGCAAAUGGAUCAGACGAGAGUACUGAACCAGAGAAAACCGAGCUUUUCCAGAUUGUAAGUAACCCCCAGAGGCGCCGCGCGAAGGGACAAAAGCAAAACGAUCAAAUUGUCUAGGACAGCAAGUUUUAAUAGAAGCAAAAGUAACCUCAGGCAUCUUAGUCUCCUAAGGACAAGCGAUAGCAAAACCACUGGUAGAGAUAGCAUUAUUCAGAGCCAGUCGCUUCUUCUCAGAAUUGAGCCCACGGAUAUUCCAUGAGAGCACAUUCCAGCAGCUCAACGACGUCAUAUAGAACUCCAAUAUUAAGCAGAGGUGUGAGAGAGAUCCUCUCCCUGGUCAUCACUAUUAAUCGAAGAGGCAAAAGAUUCGGGCACGGCAGCAGUUUCAGCAAGCAGGGCUUCUUUAGAAAGUUCAGUAGCAGGUAUAGCACAUCUGUUAACUCCAAUGGAUUGUAGAGUAACUAUAGGAGUUGGGGGCGGGACCUCACCAGCAGAAGUAGCAGCAGAUGCUGAUGUGCCAAUAGACGGGAUGACACGGGGCUUAACUUUGGAAUUGUUCUUGCGACUGUCAGAGAGGGGAGGAACCUUGACCCCAUCAUACGUGUUGGAGCGGAGACUGCGGCGCACUUCAGUUGUGGAGAUAGGGGCAGCAGCCCUGGUCCUACGGGGGCGCGGGCCAGUGGUGGCCAUAGAAGCAGUUGCCUCUGAGAUCACAGAAGGUUCUGAAGGUGGAAUGUGCACAACUUGUUCUGUGUCCAUUGGGGCGUCUUCAGUGUUGGGCGGCAUGGCGGGCUCAAUGGCGUUUUCCACACUAGCAUGUUCAGAUAGGUCCUCAAUGAUCACAGCGGAGGCAGCCAAAGCAGAAGUAGAGCUUGAUUGCUGGGAAAAGGUCAGACUAGUAGAAUCCUGUGUGAUCAAGACAGACAACUGAACCUGGUUUGUUCUCAGACCAAACCCCUCUAUCCAAGGUCCAAAAGUUGCAAGCAUUGGGCUAACAGCUUGGAAGAUGAAUGUGUUAAGAUUCAGGCGUGGGAUUGGGUCAUUCAGCAGCCUGGAAAGGAUCUCAUCUCCUUGAGCAGAUAAACCAAAUCUGACACCUUGAUCAUUGAUCUCCAGUGUGAUGUUAAGAGAUUCAAAGCUUGCACUGUCAGACAGCUGUAUAGCUGGAUCAGCCGGGAUGAGAAUGUCAGACUGGGUCAAGCUUGAACUGUCAAACUGGGUGAUCGAAUCAUUCCAAGCUUGGAGAGCAUUAUCAGUGACAUUGUUUUCAGGGACUAACCCAUGUUGCACAGUCAGACCCUGCGCAGCAAGCCAGGCUUGUUAGUUCACCAAAUGGAGCGGCAUUUGCGGGAGUGGAGGAGCAGCGGGCGCCUCCCAAGUGCCCCAUCCAGUGUUGUCAUCCACUUGUUGAGCCUCAUUGUUGCCAGCUGCGGGUGCACCAUUCUGAAUGAGCCAAUUGUGAACUUGCUGCUGAUAUAACUGUUCUGCAGUGAGUUCAGGGCCAAACUGUGGAUGUGGGUUGCCAUCGGGGGGUGGCAUUUCCUCAGGUGCAGCAGGUACAUCAGGGAGGAGGCCAUUCCAGUCGUUGCUGCGACGGAUGGUCACUACUACUGUCCAACUGUCGUGCGCACCACCCAGCUGCCAUACCACAAAGCUCUUGGGGAUGAGGCGCAGACUAAGUACUCUGACUUUUAGAAGGAUGAAUCUGCGGUCCUGACGCGGAUUAUACCAGGAAACUAAGGAACCAUAUCCACCCAAGGCCUUAGUGAUGUAAUAGUCCAUUUGGUAGUCAUACGGAAAGCCGAAGAACAUAAUCCAAAUCUCAGGCCCAAACGGUGCAGCUCUACGAUUAAGAGCCGCAUUGUGCGAAACGAAGGUGAUCAACAGAUCUUCAUCUUCAAGCUCAAGCGGUGUGUUGACAGCAUUAUCUCUCAUAAAGGAAUCCACAAAACCAAAAAUCCCAACACCAAGGGGGUGAUCCGAUGGCGGACGGUGGCCCGGCGAUGCAGGGGCAGAUACUCACUGGCUUCUGCAAUGGCCAGGAACUCAUGGCUGAGUGGAGCAAUCGGGCCAACGACCAUGCCGCUGCGCACAAGACUAUCGGCCGGCCCUGGCUCAGCGGCAAAACCCGGCGGGAGGAAAGGCACAGGGUUCAGUGGGUAGUUCGCCAUUGUGGUGGAAGGGAUCAGAGGGGAGGACGGUGGUGCGGAGAUGGGAUGCAACUGCAAUGGCGCAAGCUGCAGCAAAGCGUCAGACUGUGGCGAUGGGACUGGACGGGAUGUGGCCCAUUGGGUUCUCGAGGCGGAAGCUGAAGCGUGAAUGGGGGCGGUAGAAGGCAAAGUUGCCUUUGCAACCUCUGUAGAGUGUUAAAACCUAAUCGAUUAACCAUGUCCCCGGUUACGGACAACUUGAGCAUCUAGUAGUGGAAAUGAUGGGAGAUCUCAUCACUCUUAAUUAAACAGUUGGUUUUUAAAUGAAACAUUGGGAAUGGAUUGAGUUGGGUUUGCCAACUCAUCCUAUGCUAUACUGUAGUGAUAGACUAAUGUCUUUUAUUCUAGGGAAAAACUAGCUUUAUGCAAAAACUAAACUUAGAGUUUUCCACCAGCCAAAUUGCAUGUACAAAUAGGUUCAUUAUUCUUAUGAUGUGACUUGCCAGUACAUUCAAUGUACUGACCUAUAGGGCUGCAACGUCUUAUGUUGCAGGAAUUUCUACGACGAGUAAGAAUUAUGUUGUAGGGUUAUCGUCUACACUCAACUUGCCGUUGGCGUUGAUGGGACUCCACACCCGUUCGAUUGUUUCCACUGAGAUUUAUGAGGUAUAUAUCAGUUUUGCGUUAUUUAUACAUUUGAUUGAACUUUGAUAUAUACAUUGAUGUACUGUGUGUGCCAGCAUAUCAAUCCAGGGAUGGCCCGGAUACACAGAGGCUUGACAGUUUGAGCUCGGGUCGCUACAGAGAUGGUAUCAGAGCACAUGUUGACUAUAGGACGUGACCCUAGAAACUGGAAAGCCCUUAGGAAAAGAUUUCUCUAAAAGUUUAUUUUCAAAAAGAUCCUUUACCUCUCUUCAUUUCUGAGCUUUAUCAAAUCUUUCCUUUUACCCCAAAUAGGUAGGCAAUAUCCCUUUUCCCUUUCACCACGCGGAGGAUCAACUGAUGAGACCACUCCGAGAAGGGCAAGAUAUCGGCCAACUGAUGGCCACUUCAAAGUAAAGAGGAUUUCAUCAUGCAUUAGAACAGUUAAUGCUACGACAGUCGAAGACUCGAAGAAUUUGAAGACACUGAAGAAUUCCAAGAUUUAUAUGACCUUUAGAAGACCAAACCCUUGUUGUGUACUCACGUUAGAUGCGAUGAUUUGUGAGCUGUCAUAUUUGGUGUGUGUUUUCCAUUGCAACAAAUAAAACUUAUUUUCAAAAACUAUAUUGUUUGUAUUGUGUGUAUCUUUCUCUAUCCCUCUUAUCUCAUCCCAAAACCCUUGGACCCAAUAGAUGAUGAAUGAAGAUGGACUUGUAUUCUCUGGACCGAUCACUCGGUUAGAGGAAGAGCUAUGGAUUCAAAACAUGGAGAGUCACUUCGAGAGCAAUUUGGUUGCAAGGAAGUAUGAGGUUCAAUAUGCUCUUUAAUACUUUACAAAAAGUGCUACAACAUGGUGGAAAAUGCAUCAAGCCAUACAAGGAUGUAAUGGAGCAAAAACUUGGGAGGAAUUGAAGAAGACUCUGUUGGGAUCCCGUCUUAUCCGGAAGCACGGUGAUAAACUGAUGAAGAAACCUUGUGCCUGCAAGAUAUGUGGAGAAAUAGGACACACCCAUGAAGAACACAAGGAUGGAUGCCCUCAUUAUGAAGGAAAUCACCCAGCAGAAGAGUGCCCAACUAGGCAGGUUACUUGUUUCUUGUGUGAAGGAACUACGCACUACCCUGCCCAGUGUCAUAUUUACCCCAGGGUACAAGAAAUUACCAAGAACCAGAAGGAAGAAGUGAAAGAAGCCCUCAGGGAAAGUUUAAGAAAACUGGUGAUGAAAGAAGAUGUUGACGACCCUGAUGGAGAAAGCCUAAACAGAUUUUACUCCAAUGCUUGCUAUGCAUGUGGAGAAGAAGGACAUUUCUCACAAUAUUGCGUGAAGGAAAACCAAGAGUAUCUGGGAGACUUCCCGAUAGAAGAAGUGGGGUUUGAUCGACAAGAGAUAGAAGAAUUGAUCGGAACGAAGAAGUCGAGGAAGAGAAAGAGCAUGUAUCCCCAGAACAACCCAGUUUCUGCAGAAAAGGACCUGAGUCAUAUCACUUGUUACAGCUGCAAGGAUUUAGCUCAUUAUUCUAGCAAAUGCCCACCAAGGAAGCCAAGAACCCAAGGAACCAAGAUAACCACCAGGAACCCCUGGAUUUGUCUGACGCCAUUUGUUUACGCUGCAAAGGAGUAGGACAUUUUGUCAGAGAAUGUUCAGACCCGAGGAAAGCUUGAGCAGAGUAGUUGAGAUCUUGAUAUUGGAAUAAAGCAUGUAAUAAAUGUGGAACGCACUUUUAUUUUCGUGGGGGGUGUUGAUACGUCUCCAACGUAUCUAUAAUUUUUGAUUGCUCCAUGCUAUAUUAUCUACUGUUUUGGACUAUAUUGGGCUUUAUUUUCCACUUUUAUAUUAUUUUUGGGACUAACCUAUUAACCGGAGGCCCAGCCCAGAAUUACUGUUUUUUUGCCUAUUUCAGUGUUUUGGAUAAACGGAAUAUCAAACGGAGUCCAAACGGAAUAAAAUCUUCGGGAACGUGAUUUUCUCACCGAACGUGAUCCAUGAGACUUGGACCUUGCUCUAAGGAACAAAAGAGGCGGUCACGAGGGUGGGGGGUGCCCCCCCUAGGGCGCGCCCCCCUGCCUCGUGGGCCCCUCGUUGCUCCUCCGGCGUACUUCUUCCUCCUAUAUAUACACAUGUACCCCCAAACGAUCAGAAGAGGAGCCAAAAACCUAAUUCCACCGCCGCAACUUUCUGUAUCAGAAGAGAUCCCAUCUUGGGGCCUGUUCCGGAGCUCUGCCAGAAGAUGGCCGUCAUCACGGAGGGCUUCUACAUCCUCCUAGCCCCUCCGAUGAAGUGUGAGUUGUUUACCUCAGACCUUCGGGUCCAUAGUUAGUAGCUAGAUGGCUUCUUCUCUCUCUUUGAAUCUCAAUACAAAGUUCUCCCCCUCUCUUGUGGAGAUCUAUUCGAUGUAAUCUUCUUUUCGCGGUGUGUUUGUUGAGACCGAUGAAUUGUGGGUUUAUGAUCAAGUCUAUCUAUGAAUAAUAUUUGAAUCUUCUCUGAAUUCUUUUAUGUAUGAUUGGUUAUCUAUGCAACUCUAUUCGAAUUGUCCGUUUGGUUUGGCCAACUAGAUUGGUAGUUCUUGCCAUGGGAGAAGUGCUUAGCUUUGGGUUCGAUCUUGCGGUGUCCUUACCUAGUGACAGAAGGGGCAGCAAGGCACGUAUUGUAUCGUUGCCAUCGAGGAUAACAAGAUGGGGUUUAUUUCAUAUUGCAUGAAUUUAUCUCUCUACAUCAUGUCAUCUUGCUUAAGGCGUUACUCUGUUUUUAACUUAAUACUCUAGAUGCAUGCUGGAUAGCGGUCGAUGAGUGGAGUAAUAGUAGUAGAUGCAGAAUCGUUUCGAUCUACAUGUCACGGACGUGAUGCCUAUAUACAUGAUCAUGCCUAGAUAUUCUCAUAACUAUGCUCAAUUCUGUCAAUUGCUCAAUAGUAAUUUGUUCACCCACCGUAGAAUACUUAUGCUCUUGAGAGAAGCCACUAGUGAAACCUAUGGCCCCCGGGUCUAUUCUCAUCAUAUCAAUCUCCAUCACUUUAAAUCUUGCUUUGUUUUUACUUUGCUUUUACUUUUUAAUUUGCAUCUUUAUACCAAAAAUACCAAAAAUAUUAUAUCUAUCAGAUCUCAUUCUCGUAAGUGACCGUGAAGGGCUUGACAACCCCUAAUCGCGUUGGUUGCGAGUAGCUAUCGCUUUGUGCAGGUACGAGGGACUUGAGCGUGGGCUCCUACUGGAUUGAUACCUUGGUUCUCAAAAACUGAGGGAAAUACUUACGCUACUCUGCUGCAUCAUCCCUUCGUCUUCGGGGAAAACCAACGCUAGCUCAAGAUGUAGCAGGUGUUGAGUUGAGUUACCGAAUGGAAAUUGUAAUAGCUCAUGAAGAAAUAAAAAUUGAGUUGUUUGGAAUCUCAUAUGAAAUGUUAUGAGUUGUUUUUUGAUUGUGAGUGCCUUUCUCACUAUGUCACCCAGACAUAAACCUUGAACCCAUGGACAAGCUGACCCCAAAACCUUCACUAAAAAAACGACAUUUCACCCAAGGAAAUACAUGCAUUAUCCUAAGUACCCCUUCUAUCUUAUACCUGCAGAUGGCAACCCUUUACGAGUCUUUUCUCAAGGGCCCAGAAACGAUCAUGACCCUAACUAGUGAUCAGGAUUACCCAAAGAUCCUCAAGGACAUGAUGAAGCAUAUUCAUCUUGAAGGAGAUGCAGUCUACAAGGGUUAUCCUUUCAUGGAGAAUGGAGUUGAACUUUGGUACGUGGAGGUACACCUCCAUCGUGUGAAGGGAGUUUUCCCAAAGAGUAUGGGGCAAUACUUUUUCAUUUCUCGAGUACCCCGAGCAACAUUCUUCGACUCUGUUCGUGAAACUGCUAUGGAAGCCAUACGUCAGAUAGGAGAAAUACUUGAAGCCAGACUUCGUUAUACUCAGGAAUACCCGAGGGAGGUGCAUGCAAAGAUGAUGGAGAUGAAGCUCAUGGCCACCAUGAUGAAGCAAAAGGUCGAUGAUUUCAAGGACCACAUUGUACAAUUCCAGUGGGACUAAAUUAUCUUCAAGAAGGGCAAAUGAAUAAAGAUGGAAGUAAUGCUUGACCAUAGCAAACUAUGUGGAUGGCAGCUUUUUGUAAUAGAGUACUUUUGAAAUUUGAGUUUUGAGUAGUGGUUAAGGAUGUAAUAAAGGAUUUGAUAUGAAGAGAAUUAUGGAUGAACCAGUGCAUUUUUUGGCGAUACCUGUCUGUGCGAACACUUGACCAAUGGAAAAGGAAAUGUAUUCCAUAGAGUGAAGUUUGGACAAAUGAGUUGGAGUUUGGUUUUAGUUAUGAUGGUUACCCCAAGAGUAUGAAGGAAUGAAGUACUAUUGGAUUUAAAGGAGAUGUAAUGUUGGAAUAUGGAACAAUAGUAACUCCAAGGAUGAGUUAAAGAUAUACAAGUGUUGAAGUGGGCCAUAACCCACAGGACCCAGGAUUUGAUAAGGAAACAAGCACAAUCUUGUUGAAGAAAAUAAUUCUGAAAGAAGCCAUGAUUUCAUCAGCAUACGUUUCAUAGGAGGUUACAUAAACCCAGGAGUUGUGAAUAAACGAUAGAGGUUUUCUUUGGCUUGCAGAACCAAUGGAUUUAUCCGAACCCAGUUCGUGGAGAAGAGAAGUUUUGCAAUGCUUGUGAGGAUGCCCAAGGGCUAGAAUGCGUGAUUCACUAUCUACGUAUGUGGUAAUGAUUCAAGUACGACAUGGAUUGGCCCCCAUACCGGAGACUUCUAUCAUGAGCUAUCAUAUGAUUGAUAGAAAAUCAGAGAGCCUUAAAACCCUAGAAGAGUGUCGACACGACAAGCCAAAAGCCUUAGAAUGGCAGGAUGAUGGAAACCCUGUACAGGCACCUAUUGCCUACCGUAGGUUAUGCGGUGAGGUUCAACCCAGACCCAUUUCCUGUAGGAGGAACCAGAAAUUGUCGACCACCAUCAGGUUUUCGAUAGUUGUUUAGCAUUGGCGCCAGACCUGUCAAGUCUCAGAAGGAUCCUAUUUUGAUGCAAGGAAUCCUGAUAUUGAGGAAAAGGCCAUGCCCUUACCAGAAGAGCAAAAGUGAAGGGGUUAUCUCAGAGAAUAUGAGAAGACCGACACCGUCAACGCAAAGGAUGGAGUUCAUGAGUUUUAUUGGAACUGUAACCAUGCUUCUAAGGGUGGUAGCACCCCAUUCCUUGUGUUGAUGAAUGGAUUUUCAAGGAGAACCCCCAAACCUAACAUUCUUUCUAGCCUCUUCGAAUCUCGAGGACGAUAUUCAUUUUAAGGGUGGUAGUUUGUAACAUCCCAAAAUUCUAAAUUCUGGAAUGUUAUGUUAAAUAAUUAAUUAUGAUUGUUUGUUUGUUGUGUGAUUGAUUGUGUGAAAAUGAUUGGAAAUUGAAAACUUUUUGAAAGUAGAAUGAGAGGGAAUAAAAGGACUUUCCCGAAACUUUUCAUCUUGCAUUUUGAUCUUCCUGAAUUCAAAUUCAUUUCAUCAUAAAACCCUAGAGUGAAGAUAAUAUGACUUCUUCCAUUUAAAGAAAUGAAAAAAGGGGUUUGAAAAUGAUUUGAAUUCCAUUUGAAAAAUUUUAAAUUUUGAAACUUUAAGCAACUCAAUGAGUACAUGAGGGAAGAUAAAAUGACUUCUUCAGAUCGAUGGAAGAGAGUUGGAAGUUUCAAAGGAAUAAUUUGAAGUCACUUUGAAGUUAUUUGAAACUCAUUUUUCCAUUUGAAGUUGUUUGAAAUUCCAAAUUUCUAAUCCUCUUGGGAGUUAUUUAGUUUUAAUUCAAAUUAUUUUUCCCCUAAAAAUAAAUAGAUGGGAAUAAGGGUAAAUUGAUUCCCUUCAAUAGAAAAUUAGGAGAAAUAUAUCUGAAAUCAUUUUGCUAUUUUAAAAAUGAUUUUUAUUGAUUUUAAAUGCAAUAGUAGCACUGUUUGAAUUUUAUGAAUUUUUAUGGAAUUUAGUUGAACUUGAAAAAUAAUUCAUCUUAUUGCUACUAUUUUUCUGAGCAUUUUGGUAUAUAAUAUUCCUACGUAAAUUUUUUAGUUAUUUUCCUAUGUUGAAGUUUUUGUUUCUGCAAAAAAAAACAUGCGCCCGCCAGCCGGCCCAGGGCCUUCGGCCCAAGAGCCAGCCAGCGUACCGAGCCGGCCCAGCAGCGCCCCAGGCCGCCCGAGGCCUUACGCCUCGCUCGCGCGCGCCCCUCUUCCCUCGCUCGCUCUCUCCCACUACCGCUGCCAGUGGGGCCCGCAACCCUCCGUCCCUAACCUCCCGCUCCUCCCCUUCAGAUAGGGCACGCGCGUGCUGCCCGCAACUGCCGGCAGCUCCGCUCGGGAUAGAGCUCAUCCGCAGUCUCCGCAGCCUCUUCUUGAGCCUAUAAAUUCCCCCGACUCCCCUCGUUCGAUUCUGCCAUUCCGCAACGAUCCACGCCGCUCACAGCCGCCGCCUUCGUCGUUUGGAUCUUGCCCGCCGGAGCUACCUCGCCGGUCCGUUCCAUCGUCCGUAAGACUUCCUCGACCCCGUUCUUCUUUGUCAAUUGACUCCCCGCGUCGAGGCGCAUCUGAUUGACAAAAAUUUGCCGCCUAGGUCGUACCAGAGACGUCGCCCCGACGCGCCGUGCUCUUGCCGAAGCACCGGAGCUCCGCCGCCACCCUCCGCUCGUCGCUGGCCACCCCACCGCCCGCCGACCCCACCAGCACCCCGCCCACGCCGCGCCUGACCUCCCCGACCCCUUCGUCGCCGCUGAGGACCACCAGAGACGCCGCCCUGUCCGCCGUCCGCCGCCUGACGCCAACGGCACCGCACCUGUUCGCCGUCCUCGCUCGCUAUGAGCCGCUGAUCCUCGCUCAUUUUUUGUUGUUGUUGUUGUAUUAGAUCGGGUAACCGUGGUUUUAUUAAACCGUGCGGUUUAGUAAAAAACCGGUCUCCGGUUGUCUUUUUAUUUAGCCACGGUAGCCGUUUUAUUUAUUCAGUGGCCGUCCGCCGUUUAGCCUGAGCCGCGAACGCUGCUCAGCCACCCGGAAGCCGCCACGUGGCCAGGGACCUAGUCGUGAAUAAAACUUUCAUAGUCAAGUCCCUGAGUUUUCAAUUUAGCCCCUCAACUUCGAAUGGUUGUAUCUUUUUAACCGUAGCUCCAAAUUCGACGAAACCAGUGGCAAGAUGUUCGCCUCGAUUAGUUUUAUCCAGAGAACCAACUUUGAAAACUUUUGGCCAAAUUCAAAUUUGAAAUUUAUUCAGAUUUGAAUUCAAACUUCAACUGGCCAUAUCUCUUAAACCGUAGCUCCGAUUGGUGUGAUUCUUUUUGCAACGUGUCAUCAUAGCCAAACCCUACCACCUGGACCUUGUCACAAUACUUUUCACACAACUAGAAUCUGUCUAUGAUAGUUUUACUAUUAUGCCAUGCAUGCACUUUAGUACACAUCAUAGUUUUGAACCCCAUGUCACAAGUUGUUUUGCACUUAGGAUAUUUCCAUGCUAGUUAACUGUGUUGAAUGUUCAUUUGGUUUUUCUGAGACUUUGUGCUUUGCAUGUUCUUCUUGGUUCUCUGAAACGAUUGUUGAGAGUGACGAAUAGUUCUAUGAAGUAAAUUUCUGAGAGUGGUAUAAUCUUCAUCAACUAUUACCAGGCAAGUUCACAUUUGACCAUUUUUCCAAUUACCUAUGUUUAUAUUAUGCACUUAGUCCUUUUGUGGUAGGAUUGCAUGGUAGGAUUUAUUGUUACCAGAUGGCUAUGCCGUUACCUAGUAGUUCAUUUGAGGUAGGUAUGAUCUAUACAUCCUUGUCACCACCGUGUAAGUUUAUUUUUGCCUCGCUAAAUGUAGACGUGGUUUGGGAAGCGAACAUGGCGAGACAUGAGUGACAAACUAGUAAUCAAGACCAAGACUUGUAAAUGAACUACCUGGGCGGUAUUUGAUUUGAAUGGUGGUGAAGUACAGUGGGAGCAUGCAUGGUUAAUCCAUGGUGGUGCACCACUAGUGGUUGGCCGCUCAGGCUCAAAGAGAUGAAUCGUAUUCUCAUGUCUAGAAGCUUAUGUGUGCAGCCACAAGCCAAUAUGGGCUCUGGCUUAGUUGAGUAGUUAGUGUGACCCCUUCCGGGAUGGGCUAGCAGAUGUAGAAUGAUGUAGGUGUACCGGCCUAUCCAUGGGUUAAGGGGUGACAUUUUUGAAAGAGUAUGUCUCGGUCAUCCUGUUCUCAAACGCCAGGCAGUGCGAGAACUCCAGGGGAGGCGAUCGAGUCUUGUGGGGAAAAGUGCGCAAACCUCUGUAGAGUGUUUUUUUUGAACUUGACAGUGGGAGAGAACUCCCACUGUAUAUUUUCACAUAUCUAUAUAAAUGGGGUGUUUACAUAGACAUACCACUCACACACAUCCAGCUCCACUCUUGGUGGAACCACCAGGGGUGGGGCAACUACACCAUGGUCACUGCUAUACACUUGUCUCUAAGUAUUUAAAGAGGGAAGAAUAAAACACAGUAUGUCUCAGCUAAGUGUGCCACAAUAUGAAAGCAGGGCAGCUCUACGUGUACCCUGAACUCUAUGUUGCAGAAGUCCCAAGUUCUCUUUGAAUCGAUGGAACCAAGAUGCAAUGCUUGGGGUUACACCUCUGAAGUGUUUAUUGUUUCUUUCCUUCCACAAACUCCAGGUAGUAGUGAAAAAUGCUUCAAUGAAGAAAGGAUUGGGCCAGUUGGGUUGUGCGUUUUGCAACGCAUCAAACCUAUUUUGAAAAUCAAUCCAGUGAACACCUAUCUUGGCCCAACACCUUUCGCUGAACUGGCAGGUGAAGAUCAUAUGCUCGAGAGUCUCAUCUGCAUUUUGCCCACAAAGGAGACAUGUGAUGUCAUUCCCAAUGUCAUAGUGUCUUCUUCUCAGCAUGUCACAUGUGUUCAACCUGUCGUGCAGUAGCAACCAUCCAAAUACUUUGAUUUUCAUCAUACAGUUUGAUUUCCAAAGGAGCGGGAAGAUGGGAUGAGCUGUUGCAUCACGGGAGAAGUUGUUAUAGUAGUCUUUUGGCUUGUACCCAGCUGUCCCCCAAGCAUAGAGCCAAACAUCAGAUAUUGUUGUGGAUGGGUGUAUGCGGAAUGCUGCAUGUUGGACAUCUUGCACCUCGUUGAGCGCACGAGCAGACAGCGGUAGGUGAAAGGUUUCAUGCAGUUCAGUGUUGGCCCAGAAGUCAGCGACCGUCAUGUCUUCCUGCAGAGCAAAUGAAAAGGCACGCGGGUGCGAUGUUUGUAGCACAUCAUUUGACCACAAGUCUUUCCAGAGCAGCGUAGUCGAGCCAUCAACUACUUGGACACGAGUGAUCCCUCGGUAGAUGGGCGUUAAUUUGAGAAUGUCUUUCCACCAGAAAGAACCGACUAGAUCAACCGCAUGAGGCACCUGGUUAGCAUACUGAUUAUCCCAAAGCAUAGUAACCCAUGGUACGUCCAGUUUGUUAUAGAACUUGUGGAGAAAUUUUAGCAGGAGGGCUUCGUUGUAGAUUGUAAUGUUGAUCACUCCUAACCCACAUUUACACUUGGGCUUGCACACUAGUUCCCAAGCCGCAAGCGAAUUACAUUUGUCACCUUGGUCGGUUUUCUUUGUCCAGAGACAUCUCCUUCUAAUCUUGUCAAGAAUUUCAAUUAGAUUCGGAGGGAACUUGAGCGUGCACAUGGCAAACACCAGAAGGGAUGUGACCGAUGCAUUGAGCCAGGAGAGGCGGCCCCCAUAGGACAUCAUAGCGAUCGUGGCAGUGAGACGAUGCUCCAUUUUGCAAACUAGAGGCAUGAAUUCUUGAAUGGUUGGUCUUGUAGUGCCAAGUGGCAGGCCAAGGUAGGUGAAAGGCAUUGUACCUAUAGUGCAGCCAAAAUGGCAGCAAGGCUAGAGGUUGCACUUGCGUCCAGGUUGAUUGGUAUGAGCGUCGACUUGUGAAAGUUAAUUUUGAGGCCAAUAGAGGAUGCAUAGUCAGAGAGAAUGUUCUUGACACGGGCAGCCUGUUAUGGGCAAGCAGGCAAGACAAGGAGGGUGUCGUCCGCAUAUUGGAUCACUGGGUAAUCAUUUUGCCCAUUGCAUGGAAAAGGCAGGCUGAUAUCUCCAUGUCGAUAAGCAUCAUUGCCGUGGCUUGAAGUAGUUCAGCUGCCAGGACGAAAAUGAGGGGGGACAGAGGAUCACCUUGCCGCACACCGCAUCGACAAAGGAACUGUCGGCCUGGGACCCCAUUAAGAAGUUUGGACGAGCGACCCGAGGAGAAGAGGCACUUGAUCCAGGAGAUCCACUUGUCAUUGAAACCCAUCUGCUGCAUAAUGCAAAUCAUUGGUUCAUGCGUGAUGGUAUCGAAUGCUUUGGCGAAAUCAAGUUUAAGAAUAAUGAUUGGCCGGCCCAAGUUUUGACAGUGAUAAAGAUAUUGAUAAUCUCAUGCCAGACAAUUCUGUAUAGUAUGCCCUUUAAUGAACCCAUACUGAUUCCGGUGAAUGAGGGUGAGAAUGACAAGUUGAAGUCUGUCUGCUAGCAGUUUGGUAAUCAACUUGAGGCAGCAGUUGAGCAAUGUAAUGAGUCUGAAAUCAUUGACUGUUUCUGGAGAGUUAGUCUUAGGUAUAAGUGUGAUAAGACCAUCAUUGAUACUUGUGACAUCUAACGUACCUUCAUAGAACCGAUCACAUAGGGUGUAAAAGUCAUGUCGAAUGAUGGGCCAGCAGGCUUUCAAAAACGCCCCACUAAAGCCAUCUGGGCCAGGUGCGUGGUCCGGAGGCAUACCUUUGACCACAUUAUCGAUUUCCUCAUGUGAAAAAGGCGUGGUAAGUUGGUCAAGAUUUGUAGCGCAGGGGAUAAUGUUUGGAAGAUCAAAUUUCAUGUCUGAAGGGGAGACCGUACCCAGGCGGUUUUUGUAAGUUUGAAACAAGAGGGCCUCUUUUGCAGGAUGAUUGUCGACCAAUGUGCCAUCCUCAAGCUUGAGUGAGGAGAUAUUGUUUUGUCGAUAACGUUCCCUGGCCACUGCUUGGAAAAAUUUGGAGUUUUCAUCGCCAAACUUGAUCCAACGAAUAGUACAACGCUUCUUCCAAUAAAGUUUUUGAUAUUUGAGCAGUCUCAGCAAGUGUGACUUUAGGAUACGUUUGAAGUUCAUUUCUGGAAUUGAAAGGAUUCGUUUAUUCUGCCAGGACAUGGUUACAGUUCGUGAUGGCCACUAAUAGACGAGAAAUAUUCUUACUCCAGAUUUUGAGAGCGUGUCGAAGAGCUUUGAAUUUUCGGCAAGGGAUUGUGGCAGCAUUUGCGUUCCAAACUGGCCAUUCCCAAACCUCUCUAACUAUGUCCAUAAACCCUGGGUGUAAGGUCCAGUAGGAUUCAAAACGAAAGAGCUUGGAUCGGGGGAUUUUGGUCUCUAUGGUGACAAUGCAAGGGAUGUGAUCAGAAACGGGCUUGCCAAGGGGUUUAACGAGCAUCUUAGGAUAUGUGUUACUCCAAUGCAAGGAUGUGAAGAACCAGUCAAUCUGUUCAAGCAAAGGAUCGGUCUGCAUAUUGCUCCAAGUGUAGGUUCUACCUUUUACCGGAAGCUCAAUCAGUUGCUGCUGACGAAUGAUGUCAUUGAACGUAAUCAUGUCGUGAAUGUUACCCCCAGGUUUAUUAUGAUUGUCUGGAGCUCUCAUGUAGUUAAAGUCGCCCAAAAGUAACCAGUCUUGGUUACGGGGUAUUUGAACAUCGUACAACCAUUGCGUGAAAACAUCCCUGUCUGUACCAGUGCAAGGCCCGUACACGUUAACUAACGUCCAACGUUGAGAGGAUUGCAUGCUAACGAACUCGAUGGCUAGCGCAAAUGGAUCAGAUGAGAGUACUGAACCAGAGAAAACCGAGCUUUUCCAGAUUGUAAGUAACCCCCAGAGGCGCCGCGCGAAGGGACAAAAGCAAAACGAUCAAAUUGUCUAGGAUAGCAAGUUUUAAUAGAAGCAAAAGUAACCUCAGGCAUCUUAGUCUCCUGAAGACAAGUGAUAGCAAAACCACUGGUAGAGAUAGCAUUAUUCAGAGCCAGUCGCUUCUUCUCAGAAUUGAGCCCACGGAUAUUCCAUGAGAGCACAUUCCAGCAGCUCAACGACGUCAUAUAGAACUCCAAUAUUAAGCAGAGGUGUGAGAGAGAUCCUCUCCCUGGUCAUCACUGUCAAUCAAAGAGGCAGAAUAUUCGGGCACGACAGCAGUUUCAGCAAGCAGGGCUUCUUCAGAAAGUUCAGUAGCAGGUAUAGCACAUCUGUUAACUCCAAUGGAUUGUAGAGUAACUAUAGGAGUUGGGGGCGGGACCUCACCAGCAGAAGUAGCAGCAGAUGCUGAUGUGCCAAUAGACGGGAUGACACAGGGCUUAACUUUGGAAUUGUUCUUGCGACUGUCAGAGAGGGGAGGAACCUUGACCGCAUCAUACGUGUUGGAGCGGAGACUGCGACGCACUUCAGUUGUGGAGAUAGGGGCAGCAGCCCUGGUCCUACGGGGGCGCGGGCCAGUGGUGGCCAUAGAAGCAGUUGCCUCUGAGAUCACAGAAGGUUCUGAAGGUGGAAUGUGCACAACUUGUUCUGUGUCCAUUGGGGCGUCUUAAGUGUUGGGCGGCAUGGCGGGCUCAAUGGCGUUUUCCACACUAGCAUGUUCAGAUAGGUCCUCAAUGAUCACAGCGGAGGCAGCCAAAGCAGAAGUAGAGCUUGAUUGCUAGGAAAAGGUCAGACUAGUAGAAUCCUGUGUGAUCAAGACAGACAACUGGACCUGGUUUGUUCUCAGACCAAACCCCUCUCUCCAAGGUCCAAAAGUUGCAAGCAUUGGGCUAACAGCUUGGAAGAUGAAUGUGUUAAGAUUCAGGCGUGGGAUUGGGUCAUUCAGCAGCCUGGAAAGGAUCUCAUCUCCUUGAGCAGAUAAACCAAAUCUGACACCUUGAUCAUUGAUCUCCAGUGUGAUGUUAAGAGAUUCAAAGCUUGCACUGUCAGACAGCUGUAUAGCUGGAUCAGCCGGGAUGAGAAUGUCAGACUGGGUCGAGCUUGAACUGUCAGACUGGGUGAUCGAAUCAUUCCAAGCUUGGAGAGCAUUAUCAGUGACAUUGUUUUCAGGGACUAACCCAUGUUGCACAGUCAGACCCUGCGCAGCAAGCCAGGCUUGGUAGUUCACCAAAUGGAGCGGCAUUUGCGGGAGUGGAGGAGCAGCGGGCGCCUCCCAAGUGCCCCAUCCAGUGUUGUCAUCCACUUGUUGAGCCUCAUUGUUGCCAGCUGCGGGUGCACCAUUCUGAAUGAGCCAAUUGUGAACUUGCUGCUGAUAUAACUGUUCUGCAGUGAGUUCAGGGCCAAACUGUGGAUGUGGGUUGCCAUCGGGGGGUGGCAUUUCCUCAGGUGCAGCAGGUACAUCAGGGAGGAGGCCAUUCCAGUCGUUGCUGCGACGGAUGGUCACUACUACUGUCCAACUGUCGUGCGCACCACCCAGCUGCCAUACCACAAAGCUCUUGGGGAUGAGGCGCAGACUAAGUACUCUGACUUUUAGAAGGAUGAAUCUGCGGUCCUGACGCGGAUUAUACCAGGAAACUAAGGAACCAUAUCCACCCAAGGCCUUAGUGAUGUAAUAGUCCAUUUGGUAGUCAUACGGAAAGCCGAAGAACAUAAUCCAAAUCUCAGGCCCAAACGGUGCAGCUCUACGAUUAAGAGCCGCAUUGUGCGAAACGAAGGUGAUCAACAGAUCUUCAUCUUCAAGCUCAAGCGGUGUGUUGACAACAUUAUCUCUCAUAAAGGAAUCCACAAAACCGAAAAUCCCAACACCAAGGGGGUGAUCACUGACCUCUGUAGUAAAAAGCUGUGAUUCUUGAAACAGAGUUGUGAUCCGAUGGCGGACGGUGGCCCGGCGAUGCAGGGGCACAUACUCACUGGCUUCUGCAAUGGCCAGGAACUCAUGGCUGAGUGGAGCAAUCGAGCCAACGACCAUGCCGCUGUGCACAAGAUGAUCGGCCGGCCCUGGCUCACCCGCAAAACCCGGCGGGAGGAAAGGCACAGGGUUUAGUGGGUAGUUCGCCAUUGUGGUGGAAGGGAUCAGAGGGGAGGACGGUGGUGCAGUGAUGGGAUGUAACUGCAAUGGCGCAAGCUGCAGCAAAGCGUCAGACUGUGGCGAUGGGACUGGACGGGAUGUGGCCCGUUGGGUUCUCGAGGAGGAAGCUGAAGCGUGAAUGGGGGUAGGAGGCAAAGUUGCCUUUGCAACCUCUGUAGAGAGUUAAAACCUAAUCGAUUAGCCGUGUCCCCGGUUACAGACAACUUGAGCAUCUAGUAGUGGAAAUGAUGGGAGAUCUCAUCACUCUUAAUUAAACAGUUGGGUUUUAAAUGAAACAUUGGGAAUGGAUUGAGUUGUGUUUGCCAACUCAUACUAUGCUAUACUGUAGUGAUAGACUAAUAUCUUUUAUUCUAGGGAAAAACUAGCUUUAUGCAAAAACUAAACUUAGAGCUUUCCACCAGCCAAAUUGCAUGUACAAAUAGGUUCAUUAUUCUUAUGAUGUGACUUGCCAGUACAUUCAAUGUACUGACCUAUAGGGCUGCAACGUCUUAUGUUGCAGGAAUUUCUACGACGAGUAAGAAUUAUGUUGUAGGGUUAUGGUCUACACUCAACUUGCCGUUGGCGUUGAUGGGACUCCACACCCGUUCGAUUGUUUCCACUGAGAUUUAUGAGGUAUAUAUCAGUUUUGCAUUAUUUAUACAUUUGAUUGAACUUUGAUAUAUACAUUGAUGUACUGUGUGUGCCAGCAUAUCGAUCCAGGGAUGGCCCGGAUACACAGAGGCUUGACAGUUUGAGCUCGGGUCGCUACAGAGAUGGUAUCAGAGCACAUGUUGACUAUAGGACGUGACCCUAGAAACUGGAAAGCCCUUAGGAAAAGAUUUCUCUAAAAGUUUAUUUUCAAAAAGAUCCUUUACCUCUCUUCUUUUCUGAGCUUUAUCAAAUCUUUCCUUUUACCCCAAAUAGGUAGGCAAUAUCCCUUUUCCCUUUCACCACGCGGAGGAUCAACUGAUGAGACCACUCCAAGAAGGGCAAGAUAUCGGCCAACUGAUGGCCACUUCAAAGUAAAGAGGAUUUCAUCAUGCAUUAGAACAGUUAAUGCUACGACAGUCGAAGACUCGAAGAAUUUGAAGACACUGAAGAAUUCCAAGAUUUAUAUGACCUUUAGAAGACCAAACCCUUGUUGUGUACUCACGUUAGAUGCGAUGAUUUGUGAGCUGUCAUAUUUGGUGUGUGUUUUCCGAUGCAAUAAAUAAAACUUAUUUUCAAAACUAUAUUGUUUGUAUUUUGUGUAUCUUUCUCUAUCCCUCUUAUCUCAUCCCAAAACCCUUGGACCCAAUAGAUGAUGAAUGAAGAUGGACUUGUAUUCUCUGGACCGAUCACUCGGUUAGAGGAAGAGCUAUGGAUUCAAAACAUGGAGAGUCACUUCGAGAGCAAUUUGGUUGCAAGGAAGUAUGAGGUUCAAUAUGCUCUUUAAUACUUUACAAAAAGUGCUACAACAUGGUGGAAAAUGCAUCAAGCCAUACAAGGAUGUAAUGGAGCAAAAACUUGGGAGGAAUUGAAGAAGACUCUAUUGGGAUCCCGUCUUAUCCGGAAGCACGGUGAUAAACUGAUGAAGAAACCUUGUGCCUGCAAGAUAUGUGGAGAAAUAGGACACACCCAUGAAGAACACAAGGAUGGAUGCCCUCAUUAUGAAGGAAAUCACCCAGCAGAAGAGUGCCCAACUAGGCAGGUUACUUGUUUCUUGUGUGAAGGAACUACGCACUACCCUGCCCAGUGUCAUAUUUACCCCAGGGUACAAGAAAUUACCAAGAAGAAGUGGGGUUUGAUCGACAAGAGAUAGAAGAAUUGAUCGGAAUGAAGAAGUCGAGGAAGAGAAAGAGCAUGUAUCCCCAGAACAACCCAGUUUCUACAGAAAAGGACCUGAGUCAUAUCACUUGUUACAGCUGCAAGGAUUUAGCUCAUUAUUCUAGCAAAUGCCCACCAAGGAAGCCAAGAACCCAAGGAGCCAAGAUAACCACCAGGAACCCCUGGAUUUGUCUGACGCCAUUUGUUUACGCUGCAAAGGAGUAGGACAUUUUGUCAGAGAAUGUUCAGACCCGAGGAAAGCUUGAGCAGAGUAGUUGAGAUCUUGAUAUUGGAAUAAAGCAUGUAAUAAAUGUGGAACGCACUUUUAUUUUCGUGGGGGGUGUUGAUACGUCUCCAACGUAUCUAUAAUUUUUGAUUGCUCCAUGCUAUAUUAUCUACUGUUUUGGACUAUAUUGGGCUUUAUUUUCCACUUUUAUAUUAUUUUUGGGACUAACCUAUUAACCGGAGGCCCAGCCCAGAAUUACUGUUUUUUUGCCUAUUUCAGUGUUUUGGAUAAACGGAAUAUCAAACGGAGUCCAAACGGAAUAAAAUCUUCGGGAACGUGAUUUUCUCACCGAACGUGAUCCAUGAGACUUGGACCUUGCUCUAAGGAACAAAAGAGGCGGUCACGAGGGUGGGGGGUGCCCCCCCUAGGGCGCGCCCCCUGCCUCGUGGGCCCCUCGUUGCUCCUUCGGCGUACUUCUUCCUCCUAUAUAUACACAUGUACCCCCAAACGAUCAGAAGAGGAGCCAAAAACCUAAUUCCACCGCCGCAACUUUCUGUAUCAGAAGAGAUCCCAUCUUGGGGCCUGUUCCGGAGCUCUGCCAGAAGAGGGCCGUCAUCACGGAGGGCUUCUACAUCAUCCUAGCCCCUCUGAUGAAGUGUGAGUUGUUUACCUCAGACCUUCGGGUCCAUAGUUAGUAGCUAGAUGGCUUCUUCUCUCUCUUUGAAUCUCAAUACAAAGUUCUCCCCCUCUCUUGUGGAGAUCUAUUCGAUGUAAUCUUCUUUUUGCGGUGUGUUUGUUGAGACCGAUGAAUUGUGGGUUUAUGAUCAAGUCUAUCUAUGAAUAAUAUUUGAAUCUUCUCUGAAUUCUUUUAUGUAUGAUUGGUUAUCUAUGCAACUCUCUUCGAAUUGUCCGUUUGGUUUGGCCAACUAGAUUGGUAGUUCUUGCCAUGGGAGAACUGCUUAGCUUUGGGUUCGAUCUUGUGGUGUCCUUACCUAGUGACAGAAGGGGCAGCAAGGCACGUAUUGUAUCGUUGCCAUCGAGGAUAAAAAGAUGGGGUUUAUUUCAUAUUGCAUGAAUUUAUCUCUCUACAUCAUGUCAUCUUGCUUAAGGCGUUACUCUGUUUUUAACUUAAUACUCUAGAUGCAUGCUGGAUAGCGGUCGAUGAGUGGAGUAAUAGUAGUAGAUGCAGAAUCGUUUCGAUCUACAUGUCACGGACGUGAUGCCUAUAUACAUGAUCAUGCCUAGAUAUUCUCAUAACUAUGCUCAAUUCUGUCAAUUGCUCAAUAGUAAUUUGUUCACCCACCGUAGAAUACUUAUGCUCUUGAGAGAAGCCACUAGUGAAACCUAUGGCCCCCGGGUCUAUUCUCAUCAUAUCAAUCUCCAUCACUUUAAAUCUUGCUUUGUUUUUACUUUGCUUUUACUUUUUAAUUUGCAUCUUUAUACCAAAAAUACCAAAAAUAUUAUAUCUAUCAGAUCUCAUUCUCGUAAGUGACCGUGAAGGGCUUGACAACCCCUAAUCGCGUUGGUUGCGAGUAGCUAUCGCUUUGUGCAGGUACGAGGGACUUGAGCGUGGGCUCCUACUGGAUUGAUACCUUGGUUCUCAAAAACUGAGGGAAAUACUUACGCUACUGUGCUGCAUCAUCCCUUCGUCUUCGGGGAAAACCAACGCUAGCUCAAGAUGUAGCAGGUGUUGAGUUGAGUUACCGAAUGGAAAUUGUAAUAGCUCAUGAAGCAAUAAAAAUUGAGGUGUUUGGAAUCUCAUAUGAAAUGUUAUGAGUUGUUUGUUGAUUGUGAGUGCCUCUCUCACUAUGUCACCCAGACAUAAACCUUGAACCCAUGGACAAGCUGACCCCAAAACCUUCACUAAAAAAACGACAUUUCACCCAAGGAAAUACAUGCAUUAUCCUAAGUACCCCUUCUAUCUUAUACCUGCAGAUGGCAACCCUUUACGAGUCUUUUCUCAAGGGCCCAGAAACGAUCAUGACCCUAACUAGUGAUCAGGAUUACCCAAAGAUCCUCAAGGACAUGAUGAAGCAUAUUCAUCUUGAAGGAGAUGCAGUCUACAAGGGUUAUCCUUUCAUGGAGAAUGGAGUUGAACUUUGGUACGUGGAGGUACACCUCCACCGUGUGAAGGGAGUUUUCCCAAAGAGUAUGGGGCAAUACUUUUUCAUUUCUCGAGUACCCCGAGCAACAUUCUUCGACUCUGUUCGUGAAACUGCUAUGGAAGCCAUACGUCAGAUUGGAGAAAUACUUGAAGCCAGACUUCGUUAUACUCAGGAAUACCCGAGGGAGGUGCAUGCAGAGAUGAUGGAGAUGAAGCUCAUGGCCACCAUGAUGAAGCAAAAGGUCGAUGAUUUCAAGGACCACAUUGUACAAUUCCAGUGGGACUAAAUUAUCUUCAAGAAGGGCAAAUGAAUAAAGAUGGAAGUAAUGCUUGACCAUAGCAAACUAUGUGGAUGGCAGCUUUUUGUAAUAGAGUACUUUUGAAAUUUGAGUUUUGAGUAGUGGUUAAGGAUGUAAUAAAGGAUUUGAUAUGAAGAGAAUUAUGGAUGAACCAGUGCAUUUUUUGGCGAUACCUGUCUGUGCGAACACUUGACCAAUGGAAAAGGAAAUGUAUGCCAUAGAGUGAAGUUUGGACAAAUGAGUUGGAGUUUGGUUUUAGUUAUGAUGGUUACCCCAAGAGUAUGAAGGAAUGAAGUACUAUUGGAUUUAAAGGAGAUGUAAUGUUGGAAUAUGGAACAAUAGUAACUCCAAGGAUGAGUUAAAGAUAUACAAGUGUUGAAGUGGGCCAUAACCCACAGGACCCAGGAUUUGAUAAGGAAACAAGCACAAUCUUGUUGAAGAAAAUAAUUCUGAAAGAAGCCAUGAUUUCAUCAGCAUACGUUUCAUAGGAGGUUACAUAAACCCAGGAGUUGUGAAUAAACGAUAGAGGUUUUCUUUGGCUUGCAGAACCAAUGGAUUUAUCCGAACCCAGUUCGUGGAGAAGAGAAGUUCUGCAAUGCUUGUGAGGAUGCCCAAGGGCUAGAAUGCGUGAUUCACUAUCUGCGUAUGUGGUAAUGAUUCAAGUACGACAUGGAUUGGCCCCCAUACCGGAGACUUCUAUCAUGAGCUAUCAUAUGAUUGAUAGAAAAUCAGAGAGCCUUAAAACCCUAGAAGAGUGUCGACACGACAAGCCAAAAGCCUUAGAAUGGCAGGAUGAUGGAAACCCUGUACAAGCACCUAUUGCCAACCGUAGGUUAUGCGGUGAGGUUCAACCCAGACCCAUUUCCUGUAGGAGGAACCAGAAAUUGUCGACCACCAUGAGGUUUUCGAUAGUUGUUUAGCAUUGGCGCCAGACCUGUCAAGUCUCAGAAGGAUCCUAUUUUGAUGCAAGGAAUCCUGAUAUUGAUGAAAAGGCCAUGCCCUUACCAGAAGAGCAAAAGUGAAGGGGUUAUCUCAGAGAAUAUGAGAAGACCGACACCGUCAACGCAAAGGAUGGAGUUCAUGAGUUUUAUUGGAACUGUAACCAUGCUUCUAAGGGUGGUAGCACCCCAUUUCUUGUGUUGAUGAAUGGAUUUUCAAGGAGAACCCCCAAACCUAACAUUCUCUCUAGCCUCUUCGAAUCUCGAGGACGAUAUUCAUUUUAAGGGUGGUAGUUUGUAACAUCCCAAAAUUCUAAAAUUUGGAAUGUUAUGUUAAAUAAUUAAUUAUGAUUGUUUGUUUGUUGUGUGAUUGAUUGUGUGAAAAUGAUUGGAAAUUGAAAACUUUUUGAAAGUGGAAAGAGAGGGAAUAAAAGGACUUUCCCGAAACUUUUCAUCUUGCAUUUUGAUCUUCCUGAAUUCAAAUUCAUUUCAUCAUAAAACCCUAGAGUGAAGAUAAUAUAACUUCUUCCAUUUAAAGAAAUGAAAAAAGGGGUUUGAAAAUGAUUUGAAUUCCAUUUGAAAAAUUUUAAAUUUAGAAACUUUAAGCAACUCAAUGAGUACAUGAGGGAAGAUAAAAUGACUUCUUCAGAUCGAUGGAAGAGAGUUGGAAGUUUCAAAGGAAUAAUUUGAAGUCACUUUGAAGUUAUUUAAAACUCAUUUUUCCAUUUGAAGUUGUUUGAAAUUCCAAAUUUCUAAUCCUCUUGGGAGUUAUUUAGUUUUAAUUCAAAUUAUUUUUCCCCUAAAAAUAAAUAGAUGGGAAUAAGGGUAAAUUGAUUCCCUUCAAUAGAAAAUUAGGAGAAAUAUAUCUGAAAUCAUUUUCCUAUUUUAAAAAUGAUUUUUAUUGAUUUUAAAUGCAAUAGUAGCACUGUUUGAAUUUUAUGAAUUUUUAUGGAAUUUCGUUGAACUUGAAAAAUAAUUCAUCUUAUUGCUGCUAUUUUUCUGAGCAUUUUGGUAUAUAAUAUUCCUACAUAAUUUUUUUAGUUAUUUUCCUAUGUUGAAGUUUUUGUUUCUACAAAAAAAAACAUGCGCCCGCCAGCCGGCCCAGGGCCUUCGGCCCAAGAGCCAGCCAGCAUACCGAGCCGGCCCAGCAGCGCCCCAGGCCGCCCGAGGCCUUACGCCUCGCUCGCCCGCGCCCCUCUUCCCUCGCUCGCUCUCUCCCACUGCCGCUGCCAGUGGGGCCCGCAACCCUCCGUCCCUAACCUCCCGCUCCUCCCAUUCAGAUAGGGCACGCGCGUGCUGCCCGCAACUGCCGGCAGCUCCGCUCGGGAUAGAGCUCAUCCGCAGUCUCCGCAGCCUCUUCUUGCACCUAUAAAUUCCCCCGACUCCCCUCGUUCGAUUCUGCAAUUCCGCAACGAUCCACGCCGCUCACAGCCGCCGCCUUCGUCGUUUGGAUCUUGCCCGCCGGAGCUACCUUGCCGGUCCGUUCCAUCGUCCGUAAGACUUCCUCGACCCCGUUCUUCUUUGUCAAUUGACUCCCCGCGUCGAGGCGCAUCUGAUUGACAAAAAUUUGCCGCCUAGGUCGUACCAGAGACGUCGCCCCGACGCGCCGUGCUCUUGCCGAAGCACCGGAGCUCCGCCGCCACCCUCCGCUCGUCGCUGGCCACCCCACCGCCCGCCGACCCCACCAGCACGCCGCCCACGCCGCGCCUGACCUCCCCGACCCCUUCGUCGCCGCUGAGGACCACCAGAGACGCCGCCCUGUCCGCCGUCCGCCGCCUGACGCCAGCGGCACCGCACCUGUUCGCCGUCCUCGCUCGCUAUGAGCCGCUGAUCCUCGCUCAUUUUUUGUUGUUGUUGUUGUAUUAGAUCGGGUAACCGUGGUUUUAUUAAACCGUGCGGUUUAGUAAAAAACCGGUCUCCGGUUGUCUUUUUAUUUAGCCACGGUAGCCGUUUUAUUUAUUCAGUGGCCGUCCGCCGUUUAGCCUGAGCCGCGAACGCUGCUCAGCCACCCGGAAGCCGCCACGUGGCCAGGGACCUAGUCGUGAAUAAAACUUUCAUAGUUAAGUCCCUGAGUUUCCAAUUUAGCCCCUAAACUUCGAAUGGUUGUAUCUUUUUAACCGUAGCUCCAAAUUCGACGAAACCAGUGGCAAGAUGUUCGUCUUGAUUAGUUUUAUCCAGAGAACCAACUUUGAAAACUUUUGGCCAAAUUCAAAUUUGAACUUUAUUCAGAUUUGAAUUCAAACUUCAACUGGCCAUAUCUCUUAAACCGUAGCUCCGAUUGGUGUGAUUCUUUUUGCAACGUGUCAUCAUAGCCAAACCCUACCACCUGGACCUUGUCACAAUACUUUUCACACAACUAGAAUCUGUCUAUGAUAGUUUUACUAUUAUGCCAUGCAUGCACUUUAGUACACAUCAUAGUUUUGAACCCCAUGUCACAAGUUGUUUUGCACUUAGGAUAUUUCCAUGCUAGUUAACUGUGUUGAAUGUUCAUUUGGUUUUUCUGAGACUUUGUGCUUUGCAUGUUCUUCUUGGUUCUCUGAAAUGAUUGCUGAGAGUGACGAAUAGUUCUAUGAAGUAAAUUUCUGAGAGUGGUAUAAUCUUCAUCAACUAUUACCAGGCAAGUUCACAUUUGACCAUUUUUCCAAUUACCUAUGUUUAUAUUAUGCACUUAGUCCUUUUGUGGUAGGAUUGCAUGGUAGGAUUUAUUGUUACCAGAUGGCUAUGCCGUUACCUAGUAGUUCAUUUGAGGUAGGUAUGAUCUAUACAUCCUUGUCACCACCGUGUAAGUUUAUUUUUGCCUCGCUAAAUGUAGACGUGGUUUGGGAAGCGAACAUGGCGAGACAUGAGUGACAAAGUAGUAAUCAAGAUCAAGACUUGUAAAUGAACUACCUGGGCGGUAUUUGGUUUGAAUGGUGGCGAAGUACAGUGGGAGCAUGCAUGGUUAAUCCAUGGUGGUGCACCACUAGUGGUUGGCCGCUCAGGCUCAAAGAGAUGAAUCGUAUUCUCAUGUCUAGAAGCUUAUGUGUGCAGCCACAAGCCAAUAUGGGCUCUGGCUUAGUUGAGUAGUUAGUGUGACCCCUUCCGGGAUGGGCUAGCAGAUGUAGAAUGAUGUAGGUGUACCGGCCUAUCCCUGGGUUAAGGGGGAACAUUUUAGAAAGACUAUGUCUCGGUCAUCCUGUUCUCAAACGCCAGGCAGUGCGAGAACUCCAGGGGAGGCGAUCGAGUCUUGUGGGGAAAAGUGCGCAAACCUCUGCAGAGUGUUAAAAUCUAAUCGAUUAGCCGUGUCACCGGUUACGGACAACUUGAGAAUCUAGUAGUGGAAAUGCUGGGAGAUCUCAUCACUCUUAAUUAAACAGUUGGGUUUUAAAUGAAACUUUGGGAAUGGAUUGAGUUGGGUUUGCCAACUCAUCCUAUGCUAUACUAUAGUGAUAGACUAAUAUCUUUUAUUCUAGGGAAAAACUAGCUUUAUGCAAAAACUAAACUUAGGGCUUUCCACCAGCCAAAUUGCAUGUACAAAUAGGUUCAUUAUUCUUAUGAUGUGAAUUACCAGUACAUUCAAUGUACUGACCUACAGGGCUGCAACGUCUUAUGUUGCAGGAAUUUCUAAGACGAGUAAGAAUUACGUGGUAGGGUUACGGUCUACACUCAACUUGCCAUUGGCGUUGAUGGGACUCUGCGCCCAUUCGAUUGUUUCCCUGAGAUUUAUGAGGUAUAUAUCAGUUUUACGUUAUUUAUACAUGUGAUUGAACUUUGAUAUAUACAUUGAUGUACUGUGUGUGCCAGCAUACCGAUCCAGGGAUGGCACGGAUACACAGAGGCUUGACCGUUUGAGGUCGGGUUGCUACAGCAAAUCAGCUAGAUCUUUCAAGGCAAACUCUGAGAUCAAAUCAUGCAGAAUGGCAUUAGUAGCACUUUGUGAUGAACUUGCAACUAUGAUGCAUCCACAUAUAUGAGAACAAAGAUAACUACUUUUCCCUUGUUAUAAAUGAACAAAGAUGUAUCAGCUUGGAAGCACUAAAACCAAGACAUUUCAAUUGAGAGCUCAACCUGGAGUACCAUGCUUUAGGUGCUUGUUUCAAGCUAUAGAGUGCUUUGUCAAGCUUGCACACAUAAUGUGGUGUUUUCUUACUCUCAUAUCCUGGUGGUUGUCUCAUGAAUACCUCCUCUUCCAGAACACCAUGUAAAAACGCAUUCUGUACAUCUAGCUAUCUCAAGCUCGAUCCCUUGGAUACAGCACUAGCUAACACAAAUCUUAUAGUUGCAGCUUUUACAACCGGACUGAAGGUAUCCUCAUAGUCUAUGCCAUAGCGUUGUUUAAAGCCCUUUGCAACUAGACGUGCCUUAUAUCUGUCAAUGGAGCCAUCUGCUUUCUUUUUAAUUCUAUACACCCACUUGCAAUCAAUAAUAUUUUUACCUCUCUUAUCAGGCACAAGAUGCCAAGUUUUGUUCCUCAUAAGUGCAGAAUAUUCCUCAUCCAUUGCUUUCUUCCAUUUAGGGUCACCAAGUGCAUCAUUCAGUGUCAUUGCUUCCCCUGAAAUACAUAGCAUGCCAUACCGUAUAGUACCAUCAGUUUGUAUUUUGGGAUUAUGGAUACCUUUUUGUAACCUGGUCAUAACUCGCAAGGGAGCUUCUUGUUGCAUGUGUACAGGAACAAGAUCCAUUGGCGCAGAAGAUCCACCUCUUGCUACUGAAUCUGCUGGUGAUGCAGAAGAUCCAUCGGACACUGGCGCAGAAGAUCCACUGGACCUUGGUGUGGCCCCCCUGCCACUGGACGCCCAGGAAACCACAUGGCUUCCAGGCAUAGACGAUCCGCUGCCAGGUUGCAUGUGCGCGGGACGCGAGGAGGAGCCGACCGCGCGACUGGUCCCACUGGGCCCACUAUCGGGUGACGCGUCGGCGUGGGAGUGGCCCUCCCAGGAAUCUGGGCCGCUGCCACCUUGUACGCGAUCCAAGAAAGAUCUGUGCGCACGAUCCGAGGCCUGCAAGAGCGCAGGAGUACCAAGGAAUUCAACUGAUAUGAUUACUCUACUUAUUGAUGUGCAAUAAUGUAAUAUGACUAUUAAGAAGCAUUCUAACUGUGGAGGUGGUUUCACACUUCUUACUACAACAAAGGUGAUUGAAGGAUUCCUCGGCAGAAACUAGAACGCACACCUUCAAUAAUUGACGAGCUAAUUGGUUGUUGAACUUCAUGUUGAAGAUAUCUCAUGUAGGCCCAGGCCGGCGCAUAUAGUUAGUUGAGGAGUUGGUUAGCUUAGAGAUAGACUAUCAUCUAAUUAAACUUUUGUAUCUCUAUCUCCUAAUCUCUUGUACUCCAAGUUAUGUAUGCGUACAUGGGAUAAGCCUCAUCUCAAUCAAUAAAUACCCGCGGCCCUCUCUCGUGGAGGGUAGAACGCUUCCGAUAUAUUUCCUAUAUGGUCAUCAGAGCUUUCUCUUCUCGUCCAAAAACCAGAAAACCUAGAUUGCCAUCCUUCCCACCAUGUCAUCCUCCUCCAACCCCCCGACUCUCUCUGGUCUUGGUUACCAAAUCAGUGAGAAGCUCACCGCUGAGAACUACCUGCUGUGGAAGGCACAUAUCCUCCAGCACUUCCUUGGUGCCGGGCUCUAUGGCUAUCUAGACGACAACAUCGUCGAACCAGAGAAGCUCAUGGUCGCGAAGGACAAGGAUGGAAAGGAUCAAGCGGUCCCCAAUCCGGCGCAUGAUUCUUGGGUGCGGCAGGACCAACAGGUCCUUGGCCACAUCAUCAACAAUCUCUCGAUGGAGGUGCUGGUCUCGGUCGUCUCCAUUGGCGUGAGCUCUCUGGACAUCGAUGCGUAACAUGUUUGCUUCACAAUCUCAUUACCGCAUUAAUAAUAUCCAGAUUUCCCUGUCCAGUGCCUAAAAGGGCAAUCAGCGUCGGCAUACUUUGCUCGGAUGCGCAGAUAUGCUGAUGAACUUGCUGCUACCGGGAGACCUCUGCAAGAGGAUGAGCUCACCUCCUUCCUCCUGGCUGGGCUGGACCUCGACUACAACCCCCUUAUCUCAGCCCUCGACGACCGGACGGAUCCUAUCACCAUCGAUGACUUAUACUCACAGGUCUACAACUUUGAUCAGCGGGUGUCGCUGCUCAUGGGAGGCGUGGGCUUCAAGUCCUCUGCAAACUCUGCCCAGCAUGGUGGGCCACCUCCAUCUCGAGGCUUUGGAAAGCCGAGGGAUCAGAAGAAGCAAGGUGGUGGCGGCGGCUACAAGAAGAAACAAGGUGGCGGUGGGCAUCCCUACUACAUCAACACCAAGGGAGCUCGCUCUGGUGCCCCUGGAGGGCCAGGAGGUCUAGGAGGCCUCGAUGGUCCUCCACCCGCCAACAACCACAAGGGGAACGACCCCAUCCAGUGCCAGAUAUGCAUCAAGUUCGGGCACAGCACCAAGGACUGCUGGUAUCAUUUUGAUGAUGAUGCCCUUGAAUAAAAAGUUGUUGCUGCCACCCAGUAUGGGGUGGAUACAAAGUGGUAUGUUGACAGCGAUGCAACCGGUCAUCUCAUCGGCGAACUAGAGAAGUUGACAGUCCGCGACAAGUAUCGUGGGCAGGGUGAAAUCCAUGGCGCAAACAGAUCAGGUAUGAGGAUAGAUCAUGUUGGUCAUUCAGUUUUUCAAACCCCUAACCGUCCCAUCCAUCUUAAAAGAAUUUUACAUUAUCCUCAUGCCCAAACCAGUCUUCUUUCUGUAAAUCAUAUUGCCUUGGAAAAUCAAGUAUUUCUUGAAUUUCACCCCUUCUACUUUUCGAUCAAGGACCAGGCAACGAGGAGAAUCCUCUACAUAUGUAGAUGCAUUGGUGGGCUCUAUCCAUUGAUUCCUCGCUUUAGGAGUUCAAAUAAACAAGUUCUUGGUCUCACCAAAUUAUCUUCGGCAAGGUGGCACGAUCGAUUUGGGCAUCCUUCUUUUGCUAUAGUUCAACGAGUGCUUAGGAAAAAUAAGCUCCCUUUUGUUGGUGAGCCUAGUAGUGAAAAAAAUUGUGAUUCAUGUCAACGAGAAAAAAGUCAUCAACACCCUUCCCCUGUGUCAACUAGCGUUUCUUCCAAACCAUUAGAACUAUUUUUUUUCUGAUGUAUGGGGCAAGCAGCUCUUUCUGUUGGGAGACACAAGUAUUAUGUAAACUUUAUUGAUGAUUAUAGUAAGCAUACUUGGAUCUACCUUAUCAAGCAUAAAUCUGAUGUGUUUCAAGUAUUCCAAAAUUUCCAAGCACUUGUUGAACGAAAAUUCUCUAGCAAAAUAAUCUCUGUCCAAUCGGACUGGGGUGGCGAGUAUGAAAAAUUAAACUCGUUCUUUCAAAAACUGGGAAUUUCCCAUCAUGUCUCUUGUCCCCAUGCGCACCAACAGAAUGGUUCUGCAGAACGCAAGCAUAGACAUAUUGUCAAAGUUGGUCUUUCUCCUUGCUAAUGCAUCCAUGCCAUCGAAGUUUUGGGAUGAAGCAUUCAUCACUGCUACACAUCUCAUUAAUAUGUUGCUAAGCAGGGUUAUCAAUUUUGAAACACCCACCGUGUUGGGGAACGCAGUAUUUAAAAAAAAAUUCCUACGAUCACGCAAGAUUUAUCUAGGAGAUGCAUAGCAAGGAGAGGGGAGAGUGUGUCCACGUAUCCUCGUAGACCGAAAGCGGAGGCAUUUAGUAAUGCGGUUGAUGUAGUCGAACGUCUUUGCGAUCCAACCGAUCAAGUACCAAACGCACAGCACCUCCGCGAUCUGCACACGUUCAGCUCGGUGACGUCCCUCGUACUCUUGAUCCAGUUGAGGCCGAGGGUGAGUUGCGUCAGCAUGAUGGUGUGUUGAUGGUUAUGAUGAAGUUACCAAUGCAAGGAUUCGCCUAAGCACUACGACAAUAUGACCGAGGUGGAAAACUGUGGAGGGGGGCACCGCAACGGUUAAAGAUCAACUCUUGUGUCUAUGAGGUGUCCCCCUCCCCCAUAUAUAAAGGAGGGGAGGAGGAGGAGGGCCGGCCUCAAGGGGCGCUCCCAAGGGGGGGAUUCCUACUCCUAGUAGGAGUAGGUUUCCCCUUUCCUAGUCCAAGUAGGAGAAGAAGGAAGGAGAGGAAGAAGAGAAGGAAAGGGGGCCCGCCCCCCUUAGCCCUAGUCCAAUUCGGUUUGGGCUACGGGAGGCGCGCGCCACCUCUUGGCCUACCUCCUCUCUUCCACCACUAGGCCCAUAAGGCCCAAUAACUUCCCGACGGGGGUUUCGGUAACCCCCAGUACUCCGAAACUUAUCCGAAAUGACCCGAACCAUCCCAGUGUCCAAAUGUAACCUUCCAAUAUAUGAAUCUUUAUGUCUCGACAAUUUCGAGACUCCUCGUCAUGUCCAUCAUCUCAUCCGGGAUUCCUAAAAACCUUCGGUACAUCAAAUCACAUAACUCAUAAUACAUAUCAUCAUCGAACGUUAAGCAUACGGACCCUGCGGGUUCGAGAACUAUGUAGACAUGACCGAGACUCAUCUCCGAUCAAUAACCAAUAGCGGAACCUAGUUGCUCAUAUUGGUUCCUACAUAUUCUACGAAGAUCUUUAUCAGUCAAACCGCAUAACAACGUACAUUGUUGCCUUUGUCAUCGGUAUGUUACUUGCCCGAGAUUCGAUCGUCGGUAUCAUCAUACCUAGUUCAAUCUUGUUACCGGCAAGUCUCUUUACUCGUUCCGUAAUGCUCAUCCCGUGACUAACUCAUUAGUCACAUUGCUUGCAACGCUCAUAGUGAUGUGCAUUACCGAGAGGGCCCAGAUAUACAUCUCCGAUACACAGAGUGACAAAUGCUAAUCUCUAUCUAUGCCAACUCAACAAACACCAUCGGAGACACCUGUAGAGCAUCUUUAUAAUCACCCAGUUACGUUGUGACGUUUGAUAGGACACAAGGUGUUCCUCCGGUAUUCGGGACUUGCAUAAUCUCAUAGUCUGAGGACCAUGUAUAAGUCAUGAAAAAAUAAUAGCAAUAAACUAAAUGAUCAUACUGCUAAGCUAACGGAUAGGUCUUGUCCAUCACAUCUAAAUGGUUUUUUCUUUUCUUGAUUAAUACUCCCUCCGUCCCAUAAUAUAAGACAUUUUUUGACAUUACACUAGAGUCAAAAAACGUCUUACAUUAUAGGACAGAGGGAGUAGUAUUUGUUUUUGGAUGCUUGCAGGUGUUGGAAGAGAACUACUAGGUUGUUGUCCAAGUCACUUCUCACAAAUGUGUGACGCCUGCCCCCACGUGUGAGCCAGCGCAGCCGAAGGCGGCGCACUAACAACGAAACCUAACAAAUUAACUGGCCACACGUGCCAGCCGGUUCCCACGGGUGCGAUGCAUGCCCCCACUUGCAAGCCAGAGGGCGGCCCUACGGACGAGCCGGCAUAGGUGUACAUGAUGCACGCACUAUCUGUUGCGACCGGACCAGCUCGGCGCAUUGCCAGCGGAUGCCAACGGCAAAAUUUCGUGUUUUGACCCUUUUCUGAAACCUAUUAAAGAUCUGACCCUAGGCAGCAGAAGACAUCCUUCAAAUUGAUCACAAUCUUCUUACCCCAACUGAGACCGAGGCUUUCAAGAUGAUUGAGUUAUCCCGUAUACAAAACAAGUAUGUCACACGUGAAAAUAUUUUGUUGAAGGAGCAUAUCAUCGCACUCAAGGGCAUUAUCCGCAAGUUGGAGGACCUCCUACGCUCGAUGUGCGACUAUCCAUCAUCAACAACUCCACCUUCUUCAUAAACAAAGAAGAACUGAGUAUCUGGUAUGGGCACUCCACUUGGCAACUGCCAAGCUUGGGGGAGUGCCCCGGUAUCGUAUCACCAUCACUUCUAUCUUUACCGUUUUCCUUAGUUCGAUCCUUUUGAUAAUAUUUUGAUCUAGUAGAAUAAAACUUCUUAGUAUGAUCUAGUUGUGAGUUUUGCUUUAUGAUCCUUCUAUGUAAUCGAGUCCGUGAGCUAUAUAUAAUAAAGAUUAGUGUUGAGUCAAGGACUUGAUUAUUUUGCCAUAAUCUUGAGUGAAUAAAAGAAAAGAGAAGAAAUAAAAAGAAACAAAGAGAUCAUAUGGAUCUUAUGGAGAGUAAUGAGCUCACAUAGAAAGAGUAUGAUGAAUAAAAGUUGUUGAGAGUUGACAAACAUAGUUUUGGUCAUCGUUGCAAUUAAUAGGAAGUAAUAAAGAAAGAGAGGUCUUCACAUAUAAAUACACUAUCUUGGACAUCUUUUAUGAUUGUGAGCACUCAUUAAAAUAUGACAUGCUAAAGAGUUGACGUUGGACAAGGAAGACAAUGUAAUGGGUUAUGUUUUCUUACAUCUGAGAUAAAUUAUAUUGUCAUGGAUCAUCCAACAUGAUUGAGCUUGCUUUUCCCCCUCAUGCUAGCCAAAUUCUUUGCACCAAGUAGAGAUACUACUUGUGCUUCCAAACACCCCUAAACCAAUUUUUCCAUGAGUGUCCACCAUACCUACCUAUGGAUUGAGUAAGAUCCCUCAAGUAAGUUGUCAUCAGUGCAAGUAAUAAAAAUUGCCCUCUAAAUAUGUAUGACUUAUUAGUGUGGGAGAAAAUAAGCUUUAUAUGAUCGUAUGAUAUGGAAUAAAUAAAAGCGGCGGACUGCAUAAUAAAGGUCCAUAUCACAAGUGGCAAUAUAAAGUGACGUUCUUUCGCAUUAAGAUUUUGUGCAUCCAACCAUAAAAAUGCAUGACAACCUCUACAUCCCUCUGUGAAGGGCCUAUCUUUUUCUUUUAUCUCCUACCUUGCAUAAGAGUCAUGGUGAUCUUCACCCUUCCUUUGUACAUUUUAUCUUUUGGCAAGCACAACAUGUUGGAAAGAUCCUGGUAUAUCUGGCUAAUUGGAUGUGAAUUUUCAUGAACUAUUAUUGUUGACAUUACCCUUGAGGUAAAACGUUGGGAGGCAAAACUAUAAGCCCCUAUCUUUCUCUGUGUCCGAUUAAAACUCCAUACCCAUAAGUAUUGCGUGAGUGUUAGCAAUUGUGGAAGACUAUAUGAUAGUUGAGUAUGUGUACUUGCUGAAAAGCUCUUAUAUUGACUCUUUCCUAUGUUAUGAUAAAUUGCAAUUGCUCCAAUGACUGAGAUUAUAGUUUGUUAGUUUUCAAUGAAGUUUGUGAUUCAUACUUGAAAUUGUGAUUGAAUUGUUACUCUAGCAUAAGAGAUCAUAUGACAAGAAUUAUAUAAGUUGUUGUUUUAAGAAUGAUCAUAAUGCCCUCAUGUACGUAUUUUAUUUUUAUCGACACCUCUAUCUCUAAACAUGUGGACAUAUUUUUCGAUUUCGGCUUUCGCUUGAGGACAAGCGAGGUCUAAGCUUGGGGGAGUUGAUAUGUCCAUUUUGCAUCAUGCUUUUAUAUCCAUAUUUAUUGCAUUAUGGGCUGUUAUUACACAUUAUGUCACAAUACUUAUGCCUAUUCUCUCUUAUUUUACAUGGUUUACAUAAAGAGGGAGAAUGUCGGCAGCUGGGAUUCUGGGCUGGAAAAGGAGCAAAUAUUAGAGACCUAUAGUACACAGCUCCAAAAGUCCUGAAACUUCACGGAAGUCAUUUUUAGAAUAUAUAAAAAAUAUUGAGCGCAAGAAGUUCCAGAGGGGGCCCACACCCUGGCCACGAGGGUGGGGGCCAGCCCUACCCCCCUGGGUGCGCCCCCUGCCUCGUGGGCCACCUGGUGGCCCUCCGAUGCCCAUCUUCUGCUAUAUGGAGUCCUUCGAUGAGAAAAAAAUGAUAAGCAAGCUUUCGGGAUGAGACUCCGCCACCACUAGGCGGAACCUUGGCGGAACCAAUCUAGGGCUCUGGCGUAGCUAUUCUGCCGGGGAAACUUCCCUCUGGGAGGGGGAAAUCAUCGCCAUCGUCAUCACCAAUGAUCUUCUCAUUGGGAGGGGGUCAAUCUCUAAGUCUGGGAUUGGUACCCGUGGGUUGCUAGUAGUGUUGAUUACUCCUUGUAGUUUAUGCUAGUUGGUUUAUUUGGUGGAAGAUCAUAUGUUCAGAUCCUAUAUGCAUAUUAAUAUCCCUCUGGUUAUGAACAUGAAUAUGCUUUGUGAGUAGUUACGUUUGUUCCUGAGGACAUAGGAGAAGUCCUGCUAUUAGUAGUCAUGUGAAUUUGGUAUUCGUUCGAUAUUUUGAUGAGAUGUAUGUUAUCUCUCCUCUAGUGGUGUUAUCACUACAAAAAAAGACACAUCCGUGACAUUUUGGGCCGAACGAUAUUUUUUCUGUCAUACAUAUGACACUUCUAUGACGAUAAUUGUGACAAAACCCGGUAUCAUCAUAGAUGUGAUGGGAUCCUACGUCUAUGACAAAAAAUCAUGACAGAAAAUGGGCUUUUCGUCCGGGGCGGGCCAGAGACGCAGCUGCAUGACAUUCUUUGGGCCAUCCAUGAUGGAAAAAACCGUGGUAGAAGCGAGGGGGAGGAAAAUUUCGGGGAGUUCCCGGUUACGGUGGGAGGUCGGGGGCCGAGCGAUGCGCGUUUCUCUCGUACACGUACGCACGUGUGUGCGAGGCGUUGGCUCUAACUGAACCCGAGCGAUUGCACUGCAGGCUACGCAUUAUUGAACCCGAGCGAUCGAUCGAUGGAUGUUAACUGAACCCGAUCGAGCGAUUCCUUCGCUACUGCUGCUAAUUNNNNNNNNNNNNNNNNNNNNNNNNNNNNNNNNNNNNNNNNNNNNNNNNNNNNNNNNNNNNNNNNNNNNNNNNNNNNNNNNNNNNNNNNNNNNNNNNNNNNNNNNNNNNNNNNNNNNNNNNNNNNNNNNNNNNNNNNNNNNNNNNNNNNNNNNNNNNNNNNNNNNNNNNNNNNNNNNNNNNNNNNNNNNNNNNNNNNNNNNNNNNNNNNNNNNNNNNNNNNNNNNNNNNNNNNNNNNNNNNNNNNNNNNNNNNNNNNNNNNNNNNNNNNNNNNNNNNNNNNNNNNNNNNNNNNNNNNNNNNNNNNNNNNNNNNNNNNNNNNNNNNNNNNNNNNNNNNNNNNNNNNNNNNNNNNNNNNNNNNNNNNNNNNNNNNNNNNNNNNNNNNNNNNNNNNNNNNNNNNNNNNNNNNNNNNNNNNNNNNNNNNNNNNNNNNNNNNNNNNNNNNNNNNNNNNNNNNNNNNNNNNNNNNNNNNNNNNNNNNNNNNNNNNNNNNNNNNNNNNNNNNNNNNNNNNNNNNNNNNNNNNNNNNNNNNNNNNNNNNNNNNNNNNNNNNNNNNNNNNNNNNNNNNNNNNNNNNNNNNNNNNNNNNNNNNNNNNNNNNNNNNNNNNNNNNNNGUGGAGGGGUGCCCGUGGAGGGGUGGUUGAACUGGACCCCGUGGUGUGGAGGGCUGGAUGAACAGUAGACGGUGGAGGGGUGGUUGAACAGUAGCCGGUGGAGUAACGCGCGGUGGAGGCUGGAUGAACAGGAGCCCGUGGAGGCUGGAGGAGGUCGACGGUGGAGAUGAACAGUAUCCCGUGGAGUCCCGUUUUGCGGUACGCCACACCCCUCCCAGUAAACAGGACCCCCGUUUCGACCGUAGCGCUCCAACACAAGUCAGUUUCCUCCAUUUUGCGGUACGCCACACCCCUCCCGAUCAACAGGACCCCCGUUUCAACCGUAGGAGGUCCGUUUCCUCCGUUUUGCGGUACGCCACACCCCUCCCGAUGAACAUGAUCCCGUUUCGAACAUGGCCAGUCGAACACAAGGCCGUUUCCUCCAUUCUGCGGUACGCCAGGCCUCGUUUCCAUCGCCUAUUCCGUCCAAGCCCUCCCGAUGAACACAACGCAUUCCGUUGCCUCCCCAUGAACACGACGCAUUUUGUUGCCUCCCCAUGAACACGACACAUUUCGUUGCCUCCCCAUGAACACGACGACGACGCUGUUUCUCAGUUCCGACCCAGCCUUGUACAUGAGCCCUCGUCGUACGUAUGCGCGAGUAGGCAUUCGAGACCCCGCCCGUAUGUACACAUACGUGGCCGUAUUUUCUUUCUUGCACCCUGACCGCUGUACAUACGUGUACAUGCUACGUGCGCGCCUCUACUACGACACAUGCGCGCCUCGACAUCGACCAGUAUAUAUGUACGUACACGUUCGCGACCAGAAUGACAACGCUACGUACGCUUCGACCAGGUAGGUCCCGACUGCCAGGCACUUCCUUGCAUGCGAAGAUGUAGCUGGUGGGUCCCAGCAGUCAAGGCACUACUAGGGACAAGCCUAUACACAGAAUCUUACCAGCAGCGCGCUUUAAAAUCAGGCGCUGCUGCUAAGUAGCAGUAGCGCAGGUUUUUAACCCUCGCUACUACUAAGUUGAUAGCAGUAGCGCUGGUUUUUUAGCCUCGCUACUACUAAGCGGUCACUACCGUGCCCCUCGGGACAUGCCAUAGUAGUAGCGCGGGUUUUUAACCCUCGCUACUCCUAAGUUGAUAGCAAUAGCGUUGGUUUUUACCCCUCGCUACUACUAAGCUGUCUCUACCGUGCCCCUGGGCCAUGCCAUAGUAGUAGCGAGGGUUAUAAAACCGUGCUACUACUAAGUUUUUACCCCUCACUACUACUAAGAGGUCUCAACCGUGCCCCUCCGGGACAUGCCAUAGUAGUAGCGAGGGGUAAAAUCCCUCGCUACUACUAAAGGUGCCAUUUUGAAACUCUACCCCCCUGGAUCGCCUUUUGGGUUUUGUAAAAAGCAAAAGAAAAUGAUAAAAACUUCAAAAAUUAAAAUCCUUCUAGAUUUAGUUAUGUUACUACAUCUACUAGUUAGGAAAAUUUAAAAACUUAAAUUUGGACAUGUUUUGCAAAAAGUGUCGGGAAAAUGUAAAACGGCUAUAACUUUUGCAUACGAUGUUAGAAAAAAACGUAUAAUAUAUCAAAAUGUUUCAAAAAUUAAAAUCCUUUGAGAUGUAGUUAUGUUACUACAUCUACUAGUUAGGAAAAUUUAAAAACUUAAAUUUGGACAUGUUUUGCAAAAAGUGUAGGGGAAAUGUAAAACGGCUAUAACUUUUGCAUACAAUGUCAGAAAAAAACGUAUAAUAUAUCAAAAUGUUUAGCACGAAAAUCUGCAUACGAUGUAGACAGCUACGGCCUAUUUGCAAAUUUUUAGAAUCCUCAAAUUCUAAAAGGAAAAAAAAUUAUGCUCAAAUUUCAGUUUUUUUAAUUUUGGUCAAAUCUGGUCAAACUGUGGUCAAACUAAUUCAAGAAGUAUUAGUGUUACUAAAUAAUUAUUUCAGUUUUUGGAAUUUUGGUCAAAUCUGGUCAAACUGUGGUCAAACUUUGGUCAAAAUGUGGUCAAACUCCUUAUUCAAGAAAUAUUAGUGUUACUAAAUAAUUAUUGUUUUUUAGAACAAUUGUUUUAAACUCAAACAGCAAAAUGUGUGACUUCAUGCUCAAGCUAAACUCCCGAGGGUUAAUAGGAUUGACAUCUUACUAUUGUCAGGAAAGCAACAAGUGCAGACCUGGAAUCGAGGGAGAAUAGAACCCGGAAGUUAAGCGUGCUCAGGCUGGAGUGGUGAGAGGAUGGGUGACCGUCCGGGAAGUUAGAUGAUUUGGAAUGAUGAGGGGUGAUUAGAGAUAAAAUUGAGCAGCGAUGAGGGUGAUUAGAUAUUAGAGGUUAAAAUAAUUCAGAAAUUUGAAAAUUCGCGCAAAAAAUUCGAAAAAAAAUUCUGCGGGUUAGUAGUAGCAUGGGUUUUUAACCACACUACUACUAACGGACGUAGUAGUAGCGCGGGUGGCACCCGCGCUGCUGCUAUACGUUAGCUGUAGCGCCUUAUUAGUAGCGCCGGCCCACGCGCUGCUAAUAGGCCCAAAACCCGCGCUGCUGCUAGGCUCUUCCCUAGUAGUGAGGAGGGGAAUUGUUUUAUUUUGUUUUGCCCGGACGCACUUCCUUCCGUCCGAAGGUGUAGCUAGUGGGUCCCAGCAGUCAGGGGGGAAACGUUUUUUUCGUGAAAUACGGUGGCCCGUCUGGUGGUCCCCGCUGUUAGGUGGAGGAAUAAUUAUUUUGCACAUAAUAAGGAGGCACUUCCUUGCUGCGGCCGUGGACCCAGGUGUCAGCCACUCCACGUACAGUCCACGUCCGAUGGAAGUCGUUCCUUGACCACGUUGACCACGCUGCACCGAGAGCACCAGGGCAGUGGACGACGGCGAGGCCUAGGAAGGGGACGACGAGGAGCUAGGGAAGACGCGGCAGUGGAAGCCUGUGCGGAGAGGAGUACGAGGGUUCACUGGUUCGGCUACGGUGUGAGGCUGCCGUCACCGCAGGGCCUGGCCAGCGGUGGGAAUAGUAGGGGGCGGUGAGGCGUCCGCAGCAGCACAGCCGACCAUGGGAGGCAGGAGCAUGCGGCACGACCGGCGCAACUUUGGGCGGCUGGAGCAAGAAGACCAGAGGUUGAAGAAGCACUACGGCUGUUGGAUGGACAUCGUACAGUCACUGGAGCUAGAAUCGUUCAUAUUGAUUAAAGUUGACAAAGGCCCCCGUCCCAGUCAACUUAGUAGGCCCACAAGUCAGCCUCCCACCAUGGUGGGUCCCAGCUAGCAGGGGGGUAUUCAUUUUUUUGUGCGUAAUAAGGAGGCACUUCCGGUGGGUCCGAGCUGAUAGCGGGGGGGACGUUUUUUUCGCGAAAUACGCUGGCCCGUACGGUGGGUCUGAGCAGUCAGGGGGGAAACGUUUUUUCGCAAAAUAAGGUGGCCCGUCCGGUCAGUCCCUGUUGUAAGGUGGAGGAAUAAUUAUUUUGCGCGUAAUAAGAAGGCACUUCCUUGCGGCUGCAUGGACCCAGCUGUCAGCCUCUCCACGUACAGUACUCUUCCGAUGGAAGUCGGUCGUUAACCACGUUGACCACGCCGCGCCGAGAGCACUAGGGCGGUGGUCUGGACGAUGGCGAGGCCUAGGAAGGGGACGACGCGGAGCCGGGGAAGACGCAGCAGCGGAAGCCCGCGCGGAGAGGAGUACGAGGGUUCACUGGUUCGGCUGCGGUGUGAGGCUGCCGUCGCCGCAGAAUAACAGGGGGUGUGCGUGAGUGGAGGGAUGGCCUGGCCAGCGGUGGGGGUUGUAUGGGGGCGGUGAGGCCUCCGCGGCAGCACAGCCGGCCACGGGAGGCAGGAGCAGGUGGCACGACCGGCACUGCUUUAGGCGGCUGGACCAAGAAGACCAGAGGUUGAAGAAGCACUAAGGCCGUUGGAUGGACAUCGUACGGUCAUUGAAGCUAGAAACGUUUAUUAUUGACUAAGUUGACAAAGCCCUUGGUACGCUCCAACUUAGUAGGCCCACAGGUCAGCCUCCGAAACAGUGUGCCCCAGAUGUCAAGGAGAGGAAUCAUUUUUUGGGCGGCCGAAGCUAAGAAUAUCCGAGAUUGAAGAAGAAGCACGACAUCCGUUGGAUAGACAUCCAACGUCCACUGCUGCUAGAACCGUGUGUUGACUAUAAUAAGUUGGCAAAGCCUUGCAUACGCGUCAACUUAUUUUUUUAGGGGACACGUCACUUAGUAGGCCCACAAGUGUGUGGCAGAGAACUUAUAGCCCAUUUGCGUUUUUGUAAGAAUGUACAGCCCAUUUUGGAAUUCUAAUGGAAUUUACAACAGCCCAUUUACAGUUUGUUAAAAGUACAGCCCAUUUUCUAGCUAGGAAAAUGAUUAAUAAUUUCAACCAACCGUUGAAGACCGAAUUCAACAAAAUUUCCCACAUUUUGAUGGGCUCCAAAAUAUUUUUAUCCUGAAAUUUUUAGUCAGAUUAAAUAUAAAUUUGUAUUAGGUAAAAAUCCAAUGAAACAUUGCGCGCGCAACAAUGAAAAUUUAAGAUUUUCAAAAUCCAUAAAUAAUAUUUUAUAAACUAAUUUCGUGUUUGGUGCAUUUUUUAUAGUUACUGCCUAGUUUUUAUAAUUACAUCCCAUUUAUUAUUUUUUAAAGCCCAUUUUCCUGUUAAGCCUAAUGUAUCCCUCCUAGGAAAGAUUUGCAGCCCAGCGGGGUGGAGAAUAACAAGUUCACUUUGCCUCGGUAUUCCUCAAAAAGACGUAUAGCUGGGCUAGCCAUUUUCAUCUUGAAAAAAUUAGUAUCUGGGCUGGAUGUCUGGCCUGGGCUAGACGGGCCACAACCCGCCUAGUUAAUACCCUGCUCUCCUCUGAAAAACAACGAAAUCAUCGCCAAGAAAAACUCUGCAGUGCUCACGCUUCAAAAAGACAAAUACUGCUUGAGCUGCUUGGUCCCAGCUGUCGGCCGCACCUUGUGCAAUUCUCUCGUUUAUAUUGACUACAUAGGUUGACAAUGGUGUGGGACCGUGAUGUCAGGAAACCAGGAGAAAGCAAAAAACAUAUAGUUGUACAUAAUAAGGAGGCACUUGCGUACGUACGGCUAUGGCCCUAGUGGGUCCCUAGUGUCAUCCAGUCAAAAUAAAGUCAUCUCCUGAAUCCUCAUGUUCGUUGACGAUGUUAACAAUGCUCGGCGCCACGGCGAGCGCAACAACUCGAAGGACAACGGAGAGGGCCUCGCGGGCCCUACGGAUGGUCUGAUACAGCGCCCGCUACUCAUUCAGGAAGCCAGGAUCAUCGGACACCUAUGAGCACCUUCGAGAAACUGAGACGGCAUGAAACGGUAAGGCCGCGCUUGGGAGCUCUGGUUUAUUUCAAACCUGUAUUAACAUACAAGUGUAAUUUACUCAUCAUCGAAAACAACGCGUAAAAUAUAGGCGUAAUGAAACCGAGGGCCCGAGGUCCAUAAGUAAAACCGGCGGGUUACGCGUGUAAUUUGAGAGACCAGUGUAUUUUAUGAGCACUGCUAUAUGGACGACAUUACCAGACGAGUGUCACCUCCAGAAGGACCAACUCUACGACCUCGCCAACUCCAGCACGUACGCACCUAUCCCCUGCGGCUCCCCUGCCUGCACGGAGCUCGGUAGCAGCCACAGCAGUGGUUGCUCCGCCGGCUCCGACCAAUGCAAGUAUAUCCUCGACUACGGCGACGACAGGGUCACCGCCGGGACAUACAUCAGCGACACGCUGAACUUGUCGCCCACCAUCGCGGUCAAGGGCUUCCGGAUCGGGUGCAGCCACGCCGUGAGGGGCACCUUCAGUGACCAGACCGCCGGCGUCCUGGCCCUCGGCGGCGGCGCCGGGUCCCUCCUUGCACAGACCGCGGAGACCUUCGGCAACGCCUUCUCCUACUGUGUCCCGCACCCGAGCUCCGAUGGAUUCCUCUCGCUGGGCGGGCCGGUGGGGAAAUCGUCGCAGUUCGCGAGCACGCCUCUGAUCAAGAACCAACACGCUCCAACCUUCUACAUCGUCCGCCUAGAGGCAAUCACCGUGGCCGGGAGGCGGCUCGACAUGCCGCCGGCUACAUUCGCCGGUGGUGCGGUGAUGGACUCAGGGGCGGUCGUCACGCAGCUGCCACCGUCGGCAUACGCAGCGCUGCGGGCAGCGUUCAGGAGCGCCAUGACGGCGUAUGGCCCGCUUGCGGAUCCCGUACGCAACCUUGACAUGUGCUAUGACUUGACCCGCUUCCUCGAGGUCAAUGUCCCCAAGGUGUCCCUAGUGUUCGCAGGCUGUGCCACCUUGGAGCUCGAGCCGGCGUCCAUCAUGCUGGACGGUUGCCUGGCUUUCACGGCCUCCCCUGGCAGCCACGGCUCCAUCGGAUUCAUCGGCAACGUGCAGCAGCAGACCUACGAGGUUUUGUACGAUGUCGGCAGCGGGAGCGUGGGAUUCCGCAGUGGCGCGUGCUGAUGUGGCAAGCUGCAGGACAACCACGGCCAGUUGUACGUGUGAUGCAUGAUUGGCCCCCUAAUAUAUAUCUGGGGUCUACAAGCUAGCUUGCUCAUUGGGAUGGAGCUAGUUUGUGAGUAUAAAUAAAUGCAAGAAAGAAGAUUGAUGUAAUACUUAUAUAUGCAUGUAAUUUUAUAUAGUUCUAUAUAUGCAUGUAAUUUUGUUCAACGGUUGUAUGAUUGUAAACCUUAUAAUAUAACCUUAC